UUUUUUUUUUUUUUUUUUUUUUUUUUUUUGUAGAAAAACUAAGUUUUGCCUUAAUCAACAGAAAGAGUUAUUGAAUUUCACUGUCGAUGUGAGAAUUAUAUCAGUGAGCUAGUCGUAAGAACUCUUGUAAGCGAUUUGUAAUAUCAAAAGCAUGUUUUAUGGCGACUUCAAGUUUGGACUAAAAAGCAUGAGCCAGUUAGAAUUGACAAAAUGGACUAUCAUUAGCAAUAGCUGAAGUGGCAAUAGCAGGAAUUAUCCCACUGCAAAUUUGAAAGUCCUCAUGUAGUUUUCAAUGUGCAAAAACUGUCAUCAUGUUAAGUUAAAAGCUAGAUCAAGUCCCUUUGAAUCUCAUUCUGGUGCAUAACAAUGGGUACUCACAUGCAAGGAGUGGAGUAAAUAUUCUAUAGCACUUAUAUAGCUUCACCCUCAAAAAAUAAAAACCUUCCACAGGAUCAAGCAAACAUAGAAAACAAGCUGAUUUAUCAUUCACUUGUUUAGCAAUUCUUUUUCUCAACAACUGUAAAAAGAGGGAAAAUAGCCCAGCUACGGGACGUCUCAUAGCCUGUUCUGUAUUGAAGCCAAUGAAAAGUUGUACUAUUGAGAGAACUGACCAAACUUGAGCAGAAAAAAUUUCCCUUCAUCCCAUCAUUGCGAUACCAAAUACCCAAACGGAUUUUAUCUUAAUCAUUUAACUGACGAAAUUUGUAGAUUAAGCAAAACAACAAUUAUAAUAAUUAAUCAAGAAAUAAAUGAUAUAAACCUGAUUUAUUCACCACUGCCACUACUCUCAGAGUCUUCUGGGACAAAGGAACACUUUAAUACACUUGAUAUCUUCAUACUUAACAACUGCUGGAGACAAAGAAUGGAGCAGGAACAAUAAUUGCUCAUUUGAGGACAAAAAGUUUUCUUCAGCAAAAUAAGUCAAGGGGUUUUAUUUUCCUUCCCAUGAACAUACCUCAUUUGCCUAACAUUCAAAUAAUUGCUCUCAAAGGUAGAAACUAAUAUACCACCUAUAUCCUCUAUCAACCACACAAAAACAGAAUUGCUAUAGAUAAAUAGAAAAACUGAAUUCAAAUACAAAAUUUAUUAAAAAAAAAGUGAUACGUACCACUUAAAAAGCCAUAUAAAAUCAAUUCCCCAAAUAGAAAUCAAUCAAAGAUUAAACUCAAAUUUUAAAAAUUCAAUGAAAAAAAAGAGAAUCUUUGAGCACAAACACCAGCUACAAAAGUGCUCACAAUCUAGAAAACAAAGAAAUGAAAAUUUGAAAGAAACAAAUAAGACAAAACUUAGGGUAAGAACAAAAUUUUGUAAAAUACAAGAGAGGAAGUAAUGAAUCUGGGUAGUCUCGCCAAGAUGCAUGCCCAUGUGUCUGUGAAAGUGAACGAAGGGUGGUGCGAUUGAAUAGAAGAGGCAGGAAUUGCUAGAUAAUUGUUGAUGAGCUGAGGGAAUUUUUUGUCUUUUAACCAUCGGCUCUCUACGCUCUAUUGUUGUCCCAGAUUAACACUAGAGCUGUGAAAGAUGAAGAUGAUGACACAACAGGUAAAUUUACCUCCAUGCUUGGUCUGUGCAGAAAAGGAGUAUACAAUGGAAGAGAAGCAAUUUGUGGACAAUUGGGAGAUCGGAGUGGGGAGACAGAGUGACAACAAUGGAAGGUUAGAGGAGAGAAUGGAAUUGCUAGGAUGUUUGUCAAGUUCACGGCAAAAGCCACUGGAAUUGUUAAAACUUACAAGAUAACCAGUCCAUUAUCUAACCAAAAGAUGAAGAUGCCCCAAAAAAUUCAACAAAUCCACAAUAAUACCGCAACAGUCUCAGCAGCCAACCAGAGAUCAAAUUAGAUGAUGAAAUCAAUUGAUAACCAAAUAACCACAGCAACUGCUUUAAAUUACCAAAUAACCAAAUCCGGUCAAAAUAAGUGGCCCAGUCAAAAUAAUUGAGCAUCUAAAUUGGAAUUCAAUUGACAAUCCAAUUCCACUCAUUCUCAUCUUUACAAUAUUAAGGAUAUAUAUACUAGUUAUUGAGCAUCAUGCCUAGACAGUGUGGAAUGGCAUAUAGAUUUAUAACCGCAAACUGCAGAAACAUACAACUAAAAAAUUACUGUGCAAAGCCACAGCUUCUCCAUUCUGGCUUGCUAAUCUGCUUUAACUGCAGCUUUAAAGCUAUUCAACAUGUAUUGCAAGAGAUGCACAAACUUCAUGUAAAAACUACAAUCAUAACCAAAAGCAAAAUUACAUUGUCAUAUUACUGAAGAGCUCCAACCUUAGGAAGCUUGCACAUUCUAUCUUUCUCAAGAUAAGAAGGAUAGCAAAGCUCACUAAGAGAAGCAAGUCCAACUAGUAUUUUUUGAUAUCAUGACAUGGUACAAGAUUAAAUUAUAACUCAUUCAGAGAUUAUACUCCUAAUUCAUUUAUUCCGGUGUAAAAUAUGCUAAAAAUAUGUUCUUCGAAGAUGGUAUCUCCCAAGAGAUACUCAAAUUUGUCCCUAAAAGCAAGCAUAAAGCCAAAAUAACAAGUGUUGUUCCUUUGAGUACCGAUAUGAAGCCACAUCCAACAGAUGCAUUCAAAAUUUCUCCUUAUCCAUUAAUCCAUGUAAGCAAGAGCAGGAUCCUUGUAAAUCUCCUCUAUAACCCAUUUUGGGGGGAGAAAAUCUAAACAACGAAAUGCCAGACAAUAAUUUGUAAACGUACCUCAUUUGGUCCCCGUCUGGUGUUCACGAAGGCGCCGACGGCGAAUACAGCGGCUAUGAAGAGUAAAACCCCAUAUAUCGUUAAAUCUUUGGUUGCAGUUGUUGAUCUUUUCCUGCAACUUUGUAACCUCAAGCUGCAUUUCCAUUUGCUUGGCGCUCAAAUUGGCAACUUCCAACGCUUUAACUGCCGUGGCACGGGCCUCCCUAUCCAGCAUCUGCUCCAAUUUCUUUUGCAAUAACACGAGACCUGUGGCGAUUGAUCCCGUGACGACCGAUGAUAAAGCUAAAUCGCCAAGGUUAAUGUCAGUCUCGCCUGGGGCUGAGGUUGGGGUUUGGGUUGCAGGGGUCGGGGUCCCGGUCCCGGUCCCGGACCGGGAUUGGGUAGGGGUCGGGGUCGGGGUCCCGGUCCCGGACGUAGGGGUCGGGACCGGGAAUUGGGUAGGGAUCGAGAUCGGUGUGGAGGUCACGGUUGGGGUCGGGUCAGCCACAGAAAUGGGGGUGGAUUGGGACUCGACGGUUGAAAACCGUCUUCUCACCUCUGUAAAUCUGGGAACAACAUUUGGAUGGCAGUAAAUGAUACUGGUAGCGAGAAAAAUAGGCGUGAAAACAAGAUUUAACAAGUAAACUAAACUUAUAACAAGUUUUCAUUUGAUGUCCGGAACUCUAAUUUUAGUAGGUUUAAAGCGUGACCGAUGUCUUCCAUCACAUAUUUGCUUGCUGUAAAUAUAAUAUGAAUGAGACUUUGCAUCUCUGUACACCGAUCGUGUAAUCUUGAACUCUUGAUUACUUGAACUAAACAAAUGAAAACUUGUUCUGAGUUUAGUUUACUUGUUGACGCUCCGCAGAAAUUUAAUAGCUUAGAGAAAGUUGUGCAGACAUUUACCUGAUUUUUGCUUUGCCAAUCCACAUUUGGAUUUCGGGGAUGUUUUGGAUUGUAAGGAUGGGAGCUCUGGCCGGAAACGGAAACGGAUUUUAAUCCACCAAGAACGGUUAGAAGUUAAAUGGAGGCCUGUGUCUUUUGCCCUAAUAAGUAAUAAGUAGCAGCGAUUUUUAUUUUUCUUUUAAAUGAGGAGGGAGGCUUGCUUGUUAAAUUGAGAGUUUAAAUUACCAAGCCAAUUUAUGAAUGUCCCAUUACAAGAAAUUGCAAAGGCAACUUAUAACAGCAAAUCUUAAAGAUUAAUUCUCACACAUGGCAUACUUCCUUAUAUUGCAAUUAAACAAUUUCAUUAUCAAGAGAAAAGCAUAAAGCCAUUCUAGUUCUAAACACUAAACCAUAGGCAUGGAACCCUGCGUUUAGCAUCACUAUGAAUUCAUCAAGAUAAAUGUAUCCAGCCAACCGUAACACUACAAGAGAAAAAUAAGUAUCCAGUCAAUCAUAACACUACAAACAAAAGUAACCCAUGCAUAGCAUACGUGUUUAAACAAUUUUCAUCACUAAAGUUGCACAACAAGCUCAGUUUAUAUUAGCUUAGAGGGCUCUAAAACAUCACCAACAGCAGAUAUCCAGGUCUGCCUUCCAUAUUCCCCCUACUUAGGUUUCAUCAUAUCUGCAGAAGAAGAAACAGAAUUUCAAUCAGGAGUGCAAUCUCAUGCAGUAGAAUAAGAAAACAAGUACUCUUAUGAAACUCAGAAGGCCAAAGGAGGUCAUGUUGCCUCACAUUUGUCACGGCCAAUACAAGGCUGACACAUUAACCUUCAUAUUCACAACCAAGAUAUUACUGUAAAAGUUGAAUGCAUACCAUGAAGCACAGUUAAACAUGAUGGAACAUUACAAGGACCAUAUUGUUAUCGACUGGUACCACAUUAUGCAGAAUGCAGAACAUUCCUACAAUAUCUUUUGAACCUGUGGAGUAGGAGGAUAAACACAAGCACACACCUAUGCAGGCACACAACUGAACUCAUCCAAAUAGAAAUUCAAAGACAUUGCUCAUAUUUUUCCAAUUAAAUUAAAUGACUAGAAAAUUGAGUUUGCCAUCCAAAAAAAAAAAUUGAAAGAAGAAAAUAAAACAUGAUUACCACUAAAAAAAUUGAAAGAAGAAAACAAUGAUAAUCUCUAAAAAGAAAUUGAAAGAAGAGAAAAAAAUUGUUAUCACUAUAAGGUGCAACCUUCAACGAUUAGAACCUCAAAAUACUCAAUGCAAGACUUCACCUUAGGAUUUUGAAGACCUUCAAGCACCCAUCAUCAAUCUUUUAGAAUCAACAACCAUCUUAUCCCAUUCUCAUCAAAACGGUCCAAUGUCCAAGAAUUGAAGGAAAAUGACGUAUCUAUUUCUUCCUAAAAAGAAAAGGCGAAAUCAUCUAAUAAUUACUGUAUAAAUGUACAUUUGCCUGGGGGAUUCUACAUUAUAAAAGUAACCAAUGAAAAAGGGAGGAUUAAAUAUUGUUGUCUUCUUCUGAGCAUAGGAAGAAAAAAAAAACUGAAAUCCAAUCUACAAUACUGCAAAAUUACCAUUGAAUAAAAACUUCACCUUGAACAACAUGUCCAGUUUCUCUCUAUUAUUGAAGGAGAGGGUGAUACCCAGUAGCUCUGGUUAAAACAAUUUUUUUUGAGAAGCUAGUUCCAAAUGGUAAAGAUUGAGAGUAACUAAAAGUUAUAUAGCCACCCAAACUUAACAACAAUUGGAUGUAAUGACAGGUAAGUCAGGUGCACACUGUGCAGCGGAGAAGGACGACCAAGAAUCUUGGCAAAAUUGAGAAGAAACCCAGAAGCAGGAGCAACAGGUGCAGCCAUUGAGAGGAAGAACAAAGGCACAACCAGUAUAGAGAUUCCUCAGUGAUGUGGCAAAAAAAACUAACUGAAAUACCAAGAUGCAAAUAUGGUGUUCUAGUAUUCAAAAGAAUAGAGAAGACAAUUAGUUGCAAACUUUUUUUCAAUCCAAAAUGUGUACACACACAAACAUGUAUAUAUGUGUAUGUAUGCAUUUACGUAUAUACAGGGAGGUGUAUAUAGCCAUAUAUACAUAUAUGUAUAGUUGCAUAUAUGUAUAUACAUGAAUAUCCAUACAUACAUAUGUACUAGUUUAUCUGUUGCCACACAUUCGCGUGGCUUUUCCCAGAUUUGAGUGCAGGAAAUGGUUAAUCUAGACCUAUGUAUAUAUCUGUAAAGUUAAUUAUCUGCCGCACUGUUCUAGGAGCUAAUUGGAAGAAUGUAAAAAUAUUGAUUAUAAUCAACAAACAGUAUGAAUUCCUGAAGUGAGAAGAAAGUUUCAAUAAAGUCUAUUAUAUUACAGUGUGAAUACUUCGUCAACCAUACCACGGGCUGAAAAACAAGCAAGCAAUUUUCAAUGAAUGCCACAAAAGGUGAAGCCAAGCAGGGUGGUCAUUGCUGCUAGAAAAGGCACGCCACUGCUAAGCACAAAAAGAGAGAGAUUUACAUUAUGAAAAUUUGGAAAAAGGAGUUGCUCAUCUAGUGCUUUUUGUUACCUAUUCUCUUGCUAGUAAAUAGGACCUACGUUGAGAAUGUAGCACAAGUAUUUGAUAAGGACAAAAAACUCACAUCCAUACAAGACUAAUUAGCAAAAUUAGAAAAUCAAAUGCUGAAAUUUAGUUGGGAAAUAUAGACCAUUGCUGCUUUGGCUCUGAACUUACAAAGCCUAACAUUCAGGUAUUCAAAUUUGUUCAUCUCAGUAUUGCAGUUUAGGUUUUGGACUUUCAUUUCCUAACCAACAAUUUAGCAAAUAUGGUCAGAAUGAUGAUAAAAUUAUGUCGAUGCAAGUAAAUAAAAUACUUGCAUAAAGUACAAGAAGCCAAGGAACUCUCUUAUCAUCCAAUUUAAGCAAAUUCUCAAGCUCACAACAUUCUUGGUGUCAAAUAUACCCGCAGCAUUUGCACUUCUAUUUGUAUGGACUGCCAUUUAAACUAUCCUCCUCUAGGUUGCCAUUAUGUAGACUACACACCUUAGCCUUUCCAUCUUCCCACCACCGCAUUCCUUCUCUCUCGUGUUACCAAGACAGGACUGUCUUCAUGCAUAUUUCACUGAUACAUAACCUUAUGAAUGCAAUGAAUAACUCACAUUCAAUUCAAUUGAGACAUAAUCUUGUGAAUGCAACGUGUUCACAGCACAUACAUAGCUCACAGGAAAUUCUAAAUAUCAUUCCGAUCUAGAUUUGCCAUAGGUAAAUGCCAACAGCACCAUGCCACCAUUUUAAAACUUCAUCAUAGAAAGAGAAGAGCUCCCUGCUCCUACGUAAUAUAUGAACUUCAACAGCAUCGGGAAACACAUAUGAAAAAUAUCAAAUAAUUGAUAUGUCUCUAGAUUCAACCUCCCAGGGUUAAAGCUAAAUACUCCGAAUGGUCGACAGUAAGUCAUAUAUACUCGAUAAAAACACCCAUCUUCAGCACCACUACUUAAAAAAAUGCACAUGCAGCAUUCCUUAGAUGAUGGUUACUCAUCUAGAAUUUAAGCUGCAGUUCAUUUAAUAACCAGAAGCAUUAUAUCAAAGAAGCAACAAUCAGGCUAUCAAAGCCAUAACUCAUCAUGUUAAGUUAAAAGCUAGAUCAAGUCCCUUUGAAUCUUGUUCUGGUGCAUAACAAUGGGUACUCACAUGCAAGGAGUGGAGUAAACAUUCUAUAGCACUUGUAUAGCUUCACCCUCAAAAAAUAAAAACCUUCCACAGGAUCAAGCAAACAUAGAAAACAAGCUGAUUUAUCAUUCACUUGUUUAGCAAUUCUUUUUCUCAACAACUGUAAAAAGAGGGAAAAUAGCCCAGCUACGGGACGUCUCAUAGCCUGUUCUGUAUUGAAGCCAAUGAAAAGUUGUGUACUAUUGAGAGAACUAACCAAACUUGAGCAGAAAAAAUUUCCCUUCAUCCUAUCAUUGCGAUACCAAAUACCCAAACGGAUUUUAUCUUAAUCAUUUAACUGACGAAAUUUGUCGAUUAAGCAAAACAACAAUUAUAAUAAUUAACCAAGAAAUAAAUGAUAUAAACCUGAUUUAUUCACCACUGCCACUACUCUCAGAGUCUUCUGGGACAAAGGAACACUUUAAUACACUUGAUAUCUUCAUACUUAACAACUGCUGGAGACAAAGAAUGGAGCAGGAACAAUAAUUGCUCAUUUGAGGACAAAAAGUUUUCUUCAGCAAAAUAAGUCAAGAGGUUUUAUUUUCCUUCCCAUGAACAUACCUCAUUUGCCUAACAUUCAAAUAAUUGCUCUCAAAGGUAGAAACUAAUAUACCACCUAUAUCCUCUAUCAACCACACAAAAACAGAAUUGCUAUAGAUAAAUAGAAAAACUGAAUUCAAAUACAAAAUUAAUUAAAAAAAAAGUGAUACGUACCACUUAAAAAGCCAUAUAAAAUCAAUUCCCCAAAUAGAAAUCAAUCAAAGAUUAAACUCAAAUUUUAAAAAUUCAAUGAAAAAAAAGAGAAUCUUUGAGCACAAACACCAGCUACAAAGUGCUCACAAUCUAGAAAACAAAGAAACGAAAAUUUGAAAGAAACAAAUAUGACAAAACUUAGGGUAAGAACAAAAUUUUGUAAAAUACCGGAGAGGAAGUAAUGAAUCUGGGUAGUCUCGCCAAGAUGCAUGCCCAUGUGUCUGUGAAAGUGAACGAAGGGUGGUGCGAUUAAAUAGAAGAGGCAGGAAUUGCUAGAUAAUUGUUGAUGAGCUGAGGGAAUUUUUUGUCUUUUAACCAUCGGUUCUCUACGCUCUAUUGUUGUCCCAGAUUAACACUAGAGCUGUGAAAGAUGAAGAUGAUGACACCACAGGUAAAUUUACCUCCAUGCUUGGUCUGUGUAGAAAAGGAGUAUACAAUGGAAGAGAAGCAAUUUGUGGACAAUUGGGAGAUCGGAGUGGGGAGACAGAGUGACAACAAUGGAAGGUUAGAGGAGAGAGUGGAAUUGCUAGGAUGUUUGUCAAGUUCACGGCAAAAGCCACUGGAAUUGUUAAAACUUACAAGAUAACCAGUCCAUUAUCUAACCAAAAGAUGAAGAUGCCCCAAAAAAUUCAACAAAUCCACAAUAAUACCGCAACAGUCUCAGCAGCCAACCAGAGAUCAAAUUAGAUGAUGAAAUCAAUUGAUAACCAAAUAACCACAGCAACUGCUUUAAAUUACCAAAUAACCAAAUCCGGUCAAAAUAAGUGGCCCAGUCAAAAUAAUUGAGCAUCUAAAUUGGAAUUCAAUUGACAAUCCAAUUCCACUCAUUCUCAUCUUUACAAUAUUAAGGAUGUAUAUACUAGUUAUUGAGCAACAUGCCCAGACAGUGUGGAAUGGCAUAUAGAUUUAUAACCGCAAACUGCAGAAACAUACAACUAAAAAAUUACUGUGCAAAGCCACAGCUUCUCCAUUCUGGCUUGCUAAUCUGCUUUAACUGCAGCUUUAAAGCUAUUCAUCAUGUAUUGCAAGAGAUGCACAAACUUCAUGUAAAAACUACAAUCAUAACCAAAAGCAAAAUUACAUUGUCAUAUUACUGAAGAGCUCCAACCUUAGGAAGCUUGCACAUUCUAUCUUUCUCAAGAUAAGAAGGAUAGCAAAGCUCACUAAGAGAAGCAAGUCCAACUAGUAUUUAUUGAUAUCAUGACAUGGUACAAGAUUAAAUUAUAACUCAUUCAGAGAUUAUACUCCUAAUUCAUUUAUUCCGGUGUAAAAUAUGCUAAAAAUAUGUUCUUCGAAGAUGGUAUCUCCCAAGAGAUACUCAAAUUUGUCCCUAAAAGCAAGCAUAAAACCAAAAUAACAAGUGUUGUUCCUUUGAGUACCGGCAUGAAGCCAUGAAUGUAAAAACUUUGAAACAACUUUCUUUGAAUGUAAAAAACCAUGAAUGAUUGAAUGGUCUAUACAAAAAAGCACGAUACCAUGCCAUUUUAUAAUCUUGAUAAGUAAAUCCAUCUGGAAUGAAUCUGACUGAGAAAGAUUUCUUUGAAUAAAGAGAAGUCCAUUCAUUGGGAGAACAAACUUUCUUUAUAAUGCAUUUUGAAUGACUAACAAUUUCAGGGUUCUUUUGAUCAGGAAUAGGAAAAAUUUCCACAGAUUGAGUAUCUGGAAAGAUCAAUUCAUAAUAAUCCAGAUUUUUAGACGGAUCGUCUGGUUGCCAAAAACAUUUUGAAGGAAAGAUUCUUUGAGUAAAGGAAUUAAGAGUGUUAUAAAGAGGAACUUCUUGGAAUCUAGUCAAAGUAAUAUGUUGAGUGAAUGGUUUAGUAAAAUAUGAAUUUUCUUUGACUUUUUCUGAGGUUCUUGGAAUCUGUUGAAUGGGUCUUAUUUGAGAAGAAAUUGGGGUACGAGCAGCUUGACUAUAAGUCAAUGCUGGAAAAUCUUGCAAUAAUUGGAAUCGAUUUUGAGUUACAGGAGUAAUACUCAUCUCAUAGUCUUGAGGAGUCUUAGGUCUUCCUGCUUUUGAAUCCAUGAUCCUGCAAAAUUCAAAGUCAAAAAAUAAAGUUGUUGAGUUUCUCUCGAAGCUGUUUAAUUUGUUGGUCAUAAUAUUGAAUCUCUUCUUGAGGAUGACCGGCUUUUUUGAGGACAUCUUUAAAGAUAAUAUUGGAAUUAAUUUGUCUUGUGAGAAGAAAGGCUUUUUCUUUUGGAGUCUGAACAGACCAAAAACUUGGUCGAAUAUAAACUGGGGAAUGAUUUUGAAUCUGAUGAUGAGGAAUAGGCUGAAUUUGUCCUUGUGAAUUUUUAAUAUAGUAAGUAUGAUAUCUAUGGGAAAUGUUUUUAUCUUUUCUUUGAAGAAUAGGAUCGUCCCUUUCUUUUCUCCGCCUGCGAAUAUAUUCUUUGUGGGUUUCACGUUCCAUUUCCCUGUAAAAAUUCUCUAGUCAAGAAGUCAGGGAGAGAAUUAUUUUCUCCUUUAAUAAAUUCUAUUUCGAAAUCAAAUACAGAUAGAAUUGCUUGCCAUCUAGCAAAUAUUUGUUUUGAAACAAUAUUUUGAACAUCUUUUUGUAAAACUUCUUUUGCUGAUUUACAAUCUAUUCUAAAUAAAAAAUUUUUAUUAUAUAAAUCAUCUUGAAAUUUUGAUAUACAUAGUACUAUAGAUAAAAUUUCCUUUUUGAUAGUGAAAUAAUUCUUUUGUGGACCGGACCAAGUUUCUGAAUGGAAUCUAACUAAUUCUUCUUUUAGAUCAUCUAUUUUUUGUUUUAGAAUUCCUCCAUAUCCUAAUUCUGAUGCAUCUGUUUCGACUAUCAUAAAGGCUUUAGGAUGAGGAAGACAUAAACAUGGUAAUGAUUCAAUUUUCUCUUUAAGAUAUUUAAUUUUUUGAGUAUGUUCUUCAGUCCAUGGUUUAGGGUUUUUCUUUAAUCUAUCAAACAAUAUAGCACAUUCUUGUCUUAAUUUAGGAAAGAAAUCUGCAAUGUAAUUUAAACAUCCUAAAAAUCUUUGUAAUUGAUUUUUCUCUUUUAUUUCAUCUGGAAAUUUGCUUGCAAAUUCUAAAUCUCUAUUUAUUGGUUUUAUUGUUCCUUCAUUUAUAUCAUGUCCUAAAAAUCUUACUUUAGUUUGGAAUAGUUUCAUUUUUUAUGCUGAAACAAGUAACCCAUUUUUCUUAACUACCUUUAGAAAUAUAUUUAAAUGUUUAAAAUGUUGUUCUAAUGAUUCUGAAAAGAUUAAUACAUCAUCUAUAUAAACUAUGCUAAAUGAACUAUAAGGAUUAAAUAUAUCAUUCAUUAUAUUUUGAAAUUCUGAAGGUGCAUUUUUUAAUCCAAAUGGCAUUACCUUCGAUUCAUAGUGUCCAAAGGGUGUUGUAAAUGCUGUUUUAUAUCUGUCUUCAUAGGCUAUUAAUAUCUGCCAAUAUCCUGACUUCAUAUCAAAUUUUGAAAAUAUUUUUGCAUUAUGUAAUCUAUUUAAUAAAUCCUUUUUAUUUGGAAUUGGAUACCUAAUCCAUUGCAAAACUUUAUUUAAUGGUUUAUAAUUAAUAACUAAUCUUGGAACUCCUCUUUCUUUCUCCGCUUGAUUCAUGACAUAAAACGCUGCGCAACUCCAAGGUGAUUUUGAAGGUGUUAUUAAUCCUUUAUCCAGUAAUGAUUGUAUCUCUUAAAGCUAGAUAUAUAGGAGCAUCUACUCCUAGAUGGAAUAAAGGUUUUACUGCAACUUGAAUUAAACCUAUAUGAAUAUAUCUAUAUCCUUUACUAAGAUAUUUCUGAAUUGUAUUAUGAUUUAAUAACGGAAUUGUUUGAUAUUCUUCUUGAAUAGAAAUCGUUUCCUCAUGAGUUUUAACUGAUAAUGCUGUUUUGAAAUCUAAUGGGUCUAUUCUAUAAAUAUGUUCUAUUUUUUCUUCUGGAAUAGUCCAAUCUGAAUUGUUUACAGGCAUAUGAUAUUCAUGACUUUGUACUGUAUUUACUUGUUUUGAAUUAGGUCCUAUCUUAAAUUGUCUACGAAAUGCAGCCAUGGUUAAUAUUUUAUUUAGUCUUUUAUCUUAUCAGGAACAAUCGAGCUUAUGCGUGGAACAUCCUAUCCUGGACUUACCAACCGACUUACAAAACUUCAAAAUCUUACCAAUGAUAGGAUAAAAUCGUAAAUGAAAUAUAUAACUUAAAAGCAUAAAUUAGAAAUUUAAUAUAGGAAAUAAUUCAAAAUUAGCAAUAUCUAUGGUCUGGCUCUGAUACCAGAACCUACCCAGGCAUAUGAAAGCAUAUAUGAAUGCAUAUAAAGUUUAGAGAAAUCAGACUUACAAUUAAUCAGAGUGAUAUUAGCAAUGGAAGCUUUAAAUUUCAGAGGCUUUUGGAUGAGAUCAAACUUCGAACUUCUAUUGAACUUCUUGAAUUAAAGGGCGUACAAAGAAAUAUAAAAACUGGAAGAGGAAGGUUUACAGAGAGAAAUUCUUAAAUUGGCUAAAAGACUCGAUGCCCUUUCCUUUGAUAUUGAAUCCUAUUUAUAGAGACUUCUUUCUGUGAAUUUCAUUUGCAUUUUCAUGCCGACACUUUCAUGCCGACACUUUCAUUUGAAUGUUAUUUACUUUUCUUGCCGACACCUUAUCUUCUUGUAAUUGGUCCUUUUGAGAUUCUUAUCCUAUCUUGAAAUCGAUAUCUUUGAGAUUGGCCGACAACUUUAUUAAAAGUCUGUCGGGUCUUGAGCGCAUGGGCCACCAAAAGGAUCAAAAGUGGAUUCUGAUGAUGAUCCGGCUGACUCAUCUUUUUUGUCUUCUUCCUUUUUGUCUUGAUUUUGCAAAUAAUUCAGAUAUUCCUUGAGCAUUUCUGGAUUUUGCAUCAUCUUUUUCAUCAGGAAAUGAUUUGCAACUGUUUUCGUUGUUGAGCAGUUUUCUUUUUCUUUCUUUUGUGGGGUUGUUGGAAUGUUAACUCCUUUGGUAUUUUGCUGAUUUGGAUUUAUCCAUUUGAGCUUCUCUCCUGUUUCCAAGAAUCUUAAAACAUUUCUCUGGUCACAGAAUUCUUGAUUGAAUCCUAUCCACCAUUUGAUCUUGAAUUCUCGAACUAGUGACAUUGGAAGUGAUUUUUCAAGUUCUUGAUGAAUUUUGAAACUCUAGCAAAAAAUUCAUGGUACUUUGAAUUCCAUAUGGAAUAAUAUUGGUCUUGUCCAAAAGUAAUAUUUUCGAAUGAAAUAACAUCUGUUCCCAUUUCUUUUUGUAAAUUAUCCCUUAUUCUUUGUGAAAAUAAAUUUGGUAAUCCUGUAAUAAAUCUUUCUUUCCAAAAUGAAGCAUUACAAUCUGGUCUUCUUAAUACAUUUGUUAAAAACAUAUCUUUAUACCAUCUAAAAUCUGACAAAGUUGGACAUCUUAAAUUUGUUAAAAAUGUUUUAUUUGCAUUUAACUCUUCUUUUGGAUUUCCUACAAAAUACAUUACUAUAGUAACAAUUAAAAAUUCUGCAGCAUCUGAUUGUACUUGAAUAUUACCUUGAUCAUCUUCUACUUCUAUUGUAUGAUCUAAUAUUGAUAAUUUAUCUUGAAAUGUUAAAGCAUUAUCCUACCAAUUUUUUAAUUGUCCGGUAAAUCCUGAUACUAGUAAUGUUGCAAUAUUUCUUUCUUGAAUAUUUUUUAACUUAUAAGCUAGUCUUGCCAUUCCCAUUUCUUGUAAAGUGUUUAAUACUUCAUAUUCUGCUCUUCCGUUUAUAUUUCAUUCAUAAAUUGAAUCUCCAUCAUAUUUUGUGGUAUGAAAUUUUGAUCUUUCUUCAUAUUGGAUAUCUGGGGGACUAGGUCUUGGAUAAUAAUUUCUAGUGCUUACUAUUUGCCAAUCUUUUUUAUUAUUUUUAAAAGGUCUUUUUCUUCUUAUUUUAUUUAUUUGAUUGUUAUCUUCUUCUUUAAAUUGCUCUUCUAUAGGUAAAAUUAUAUCUUCAUUAUUUUUCGAGUAGCUUGAUUCUUCUGAUGAUAUUUCUUCGUUUAUUAUAUUAUCUAAUGUAUUUAUUCUAGGAGUUUGAGUCUGAGCUUCUGUUGUUAGACUUUGCAAUGUUUGAGAUAUUCUAUUUAAUAUAUUAUAUGUAUUAUUUAUUCUUUGAGUAUUAACGCUUUGAAUUAAUUCUUGCUCUCUAUCUCUUGUUAAGCUUCUAGGUUGAAAAUGUGGUGCUGAAACAUCAUUAGGAAAUUUUGUAACUGGUUUCUGAAUACUGUCUAUUUUAGUACUUAUUACUUCUAUAUGUUGUGAUAUAGUAUGCAGAAUUUGAUUUGUGUAAUUAUUUUGUUGGUAUAAUUUUUUAAUAUCAUCUAGAUUCACAUUAUUGCUAGUACUACUUGCUUCUGCUUCGCGUCCUUUUUUGAAAGGGGAUGCAAUAACUUCUCCUUGUCCUAAAUUAAUUUUUACUUCUUGUAAUGGAGGAUGAAUUAAGGUUACUAUUUGAUCGUCUUUUAAUUUUCAUUUUUUAUAUAAACUAGUUUGAACAUUUAUCUGUGGUGUAUUAUAUAUAUCAAUUAUUCCUGUUUUUGAAAUGUAAAAUGAUAACCAAGUAAAGAAGGGAAAAUCAAAUUUUCUAUUUUCUAAUUCUUUUUUCCAUUCUAAUAUUAAUUUUUCUUUACACUCUGGCGACAAUUGAAAAAAUCAAAUUCUUUUUUCUGUAUUUUCUUCAUCAUCAAAAUCUUCUUGUAAAUAUUUAUGAUUUAUUUUAUAUUUUUUACUUAUUACAUUUAUUUCACCUCGCAUUUGAGAAUGUGUUGGGGAAUAUUCUGAUUUAUUUUGAUUAAUUACUUCUAGAACAGGAGUUUUAAAUUUAAAUGUUGAGGAACUUUCUGGAAUAAAAGUUGUAUCACUUGAUUCAUAACUAGAUCUUCUAGCCGGAAUCCAUGAAUGACUUGAAGUUGAAGAUCUUUCUCUAAAUGAAGAAAAUCUUAACAAAACUUUUCCAUCAGGUUCUUCUAUAAUAUCUUCUACAUUUGUUUGCUCUAUGUUUCUUGGUGCUUGUGGAUUUUGAAUUAUAAAUUCAUUAGGUAUACUUAUUUCGUUCCAUUUUAAUCUUUUGGGAGUAUAAAUAGUAGGCCUAUCUGCAUCAACUUGCAAUAAUGUUGUUUCAUCUUUUAAAGUUGGAGUCAUGAUAAAUUUUGGAUUUAGUUGAGAGGACAAUGGUCUAUAAUACAUUUUAUAGAUUAUAGCAAAAUUCUUAGUAUGUUUUUCAAAUUCAUCACCUUGUAAAUGAAUAUCUAAUAUGACUGAAUUCAGAACAUGUGGAUCUGUUAAGUCUACUGAAAAAUUUGGAGCACAGUUAAAGUAAAUUGGUCCAUUACAUACAUUUGUUUGAAUCAUAGAUAAAAGAGAGGUUUUAUAUCUUUUGAGUCUUGUAUCUCUUAAAGUUAGAUAUAUAGGAGCAUCUACUCCUAGAUGGAAUAAAGGUUUUACUGCAACUUGAAUUAAACCUAUAUGAAUAUAUCUAUAUCAUUUACUAAAAUAUUUCUGAAUUGUAUCAUGAUUUAAUAACGGAAUUGUUUGAUAUUCUUUUUGAAUAGAAAUCGUUUCCUCAUAAGUUUUAACUGAUAAUGCUGUUUUGAAAUCUAAUGGGCCUAUUCUAUGAAUAUGUUCAAAAUUUCUCCUUAUCCAUUAAUCCAUGUAAGCAAGAGCAGGAUCCUUGUAAAUCUCCUCUAUAACCCAUUUUGGGGGGAGAAAAUCUAAACAACGAAAUGCCAGACAAUAAUUUGUAAACGUACCUCAUUUGGUCCCCAUCUGGUGUUCACGAAGGCGCCGACGGCGAAGACAGCGGCUAAGAAGAGUAAACCCCAUAUAUCGUUAAAUCUUUGGUUGCAGUUGUUGAUCUUUUCCUGCAACUUUGUAACCUCAAGCUGCAUUUCCAUUUGCUUGGCGCUCAAAUUGGCAACUUCCGACGCUUUAACUGCCGUGGCACGGGCCUCCCUAUCCAGCAUCUGCUCCAAUUUCUUUUGCAAUAACACGAGACCUGUGGCGAUUGAUCCCGUGACGACCGAUGAUAAAGCUAAAUCGCCAAGGUUAAUGUCAGUCUCGCCUGGGGCUGAGGUUGGGGUUUGGGUUGCAGGGGUCGGGGUCCCGGUCCCGGACGUAGGGGUCGGGACUGGGAAUUGGGUAGGGAUCGGGGUCGGUGUGGAGGUCACGGUUGGGGUCGGGUCAGCCACAGAAAUGGGGGUGGAUUGGGACUCGACGGUUGAAAACCGUCUUCUCACCUCUGUAAAUCUGGGAACAACAUUUGGAUGGCAGUAAAUGAUACUGGUAGCGAGAAAAAUAGGCAUGAAAACAAGAUUUAACAAGUAAACUAAACUUAGAACAAGUUUUCAUUUGAUGUCCGGAACUCUAAUUUUAGUAGGUUUAAAGCGUGUACGAUGUCUUCCAUCACAUAUUUGCUUGCUGUAAAUAUAAUAUGAAUGAGACUUUGCAUCUCUGUACACCGAUCGUGUAAUCUUGAACUCUUGAUUACUUGAACUAAACAAAUGGAAACUUGUUCUGAGUUUAGUUUACUUGUUGACGCUCCGCAGAAAUUUAAUAGCUUAGAGAAAGUUGCGCAGACAUUUACCUGAUUUUUGCUUUGCCAAUCCACAUUUGGAUUUCGGGGAUGUUUUGGAUUGUAAGGAUGGGAGCUCUGGCCGGAAACGGAAACGGAUUUUAAUCCACUAAGAACGGUUAGAAGUUAAAUGGAGGCCUGUGUCUUUUGCCCUAAUAAGUAAUAAGUAGCAGCGAUUUUUAUUUUUCUUUUAAAUGAGGAGGGAGGCUUGCUUGUUAAAUUGAGAGUUUAAAUUACCAAACCAAUUUAUGAAUGUCCCAUUACAAGAAAUUGCAAAGGCAACUUAUAACAGCAAAUCUUAAAGAUUAAUUCUCACACAUGGCAUACUUCCUUAUAUUGCAAUUAAACAAUUUCAUUAUCAAGAGAAAAGCAUAAAGCCAUUCUAGUUCUAAACACUAAACCAUAGGCAUGGAACCCUGCGUUUAGCAUCACUAUGAAUUCAUCAAGAUAAAUGUAUCCAGCCAACCGUAACACUACAAGAGAAAAAUAAGUAUCCAGUCAAUCAUAACACUACAAACAAAAGUAACCCAUGCAUAGCAUACGUGUUUAAACAAUUUUCAUCACUAAAGUUGCACAACAAGCUCAGUUUAUAUUAGCUUAGAGGGCUCUAAAACAUCACCAACAGCAGAUAUCCAGGUCUGCCUUCCAUAUUCCCCCUACUUAGGUUUCAUCAUAUCUGCAGAAGAAGAAACAGAAUUUCAAUCAGGAGUGCAAUCUCAUGCAGUAGAAUAAGAAAACAAGUACUCUUAUGAAACUCAGAAGGCCAAAGGAGGUCAUGUUGCCUCACCUUUGUCACGGCCAAUACAAGGCUGACACAUUAACCUUCAUAUUCACAACCAAGAUAUUACUGUAAAAGUUGAAUGCAUACCAUGAAGCACAGUUAAACAUGAUGGAACAUUACAAGGACCAUAUUGUUAUCGACUGGUACCACAUUAUGCAGAAUGCAGAACAUUCCUACAAUAUCUUUUGAACCUGUGGAGUAGGAGGAUAAACACAAGCACACACCUAUGCAGGCACACAACUGAACUCAUCCAAAUAGAAAUUCAAAGACAUUGCUCAUAUUUUUCCAAUUAAAUUAAAUGACUAGAAACUUGAGUUUGCCAUCCAAAAAAAAAAUUGAAAGAAGAAAAUAAAACAUGAUUACCACUAAAAAAAUUGAAAGAAGAAAACAAUGAUAAUCACUAAAAAGAAAUUGAAAGAAGAGAAAAAAAUUGUUAUCACUAUAAGGUGCAACCUUCAACGAUUAGAACCUCAAAAUACUCAAUGCAAGAAUUCACCUUAGGAUUUUGAAGACCUUCAAGCACCCAUCAUCAAUCUUUUAGAAUCAACAACCAUCUAAUCCCAUUCUCAUCAAAACGGUCCAAUGUCCAAGAAUUGAAGGAAAAUGACGUAUCUAUUUCUUCCUAAAAAGAAAAGGCGAAAUCUUCUAAUAAUUACUGUAUAAAUGUACAUUUGCCUGGGGGAUUCUACAUUAUAAAAGUAACCAAUGAAAAAGGGAGGAUUAAAUAUCGUUGUCUUCUUCUGAGCAUAGGAAGAAAAAAAAAACUGAAAUCCAAUCUACAAUACUGCAAAAUUACCAUUGAAUAAAAACUUCACCUUGAACAACAUGUCCAGUUUCUCUCUAUUAUUGAAGGAGAGGGUGAUACCCAGUAGCUCUGGUUAAAACAAUUUUUUUUGAGAAGCUAGUUCCAAAUGGUAAAGAUUGAGAGUAACUAAAAGUUAUAUAGCCACCCAAACUUAACAACAAUUGGAUGUAAUGACAGGUAAGUCAGGUGCACACUGUGCAGCGGAGAAGGACGACCAAGAAUCUUGGCAAAAUUGAGAAGAAACCCAGAAGCAGGAGCAACAGGUGCAGCCAUUGAGAGGAAGAACAAAGGCACAACCAGUAUAGAGAUUCCUCAGUGAUGUGGCAAAAAAAACUAACUGAAAUACCAAGAUGCAAAUAUGGUGUUCUAGUAUUCAAAAGAAUAGAGAAGACAAUUAGUUGCAAACUUUUUUUCAAUCCAAAAUGUGUACACACACAAACAUGUAUAUAUGUGUAUGUAUGCAUUUACGUAUAUACAGGGAGGUGUAUAUAGCCAUAUAUACAUAUAUGUAUAGUUGCAUAUAUGUAUAUACAUGAAUAUCCAUACAUACAUAUGUACUAGUUUAUCUGUUGCCACACAUUCGCGUGGCUUUUCCCAGAUUUGAGUGCAGGAAAUGGUUAAUCUAGACCUAUGUAUAUAUCUGUAAAGUUAAUUAUCUGCCGCACUGUUCUAGGAGCUAAUUGGAAGAAUGUAAAAAUAUUGAUUAUAAUCAACAAACAGUAUGAAUUCCUGAAGUGAGAAGAAAGUUUCAAUAAAGUCUAUUAUAUUACAGUGUGAAUACUUCGUCAACCAUACCACGGGCUGAAAAACAAGCAAGCAAUUUUCAAUGAAUGCCACAAAAGGUGAAGCCAAGCAGGGUGGUCAUUGCUGCUAGAAAAGGCACGCCACUGCUAAGCACAAAAAGAGAGAGAUUUACAUUAUGAAAAUUUGGAAAAAGGAGUUGCUCAUCUAGUGCUUUUUGUUACCUAUUCUCUUGCUAGUAAAUAGGACCUACGUUGAGAAUGUAGCACAAGUAUUUGAUAAGGACAAAAAACUCACAUCCAUACAAGACUAAUUAGCAAAAUUAGAAAAUCAAAUGCUGAAAUUUAGUUGGGAAAUAUAGACCAUUGCUGCUUUGGCUCUGAACUUACAAAGCCUAACAUUCAGGUAUUCAAAUUUGUUCAUCUCAGUAUUGCAGUUUAGGUUUUGGACUUUCAUUUCCUAACCAACAAUUUAGCAAAUAUGAUCAGAAUGAUGAUAAAAUUAUGUCGAUGCAAGUAAAUAAAAUACUUGCAUAAAGUACAAGAAGCCAAGGAACUCUCUUAUCAUCCAAUUUAAGCAAAUUCUCAAGCUCACAACAUUCUUGGUGUCAAAUAUACCCGCAGCAUUUGCACUUCUAUUUGUAUGGACUGCCAUUUAAACUAUCCUCCUCUAGGUUGCCAUUAUGUAGACUACACACCUUAGCCUUUCCAUCUUCCCACCACCGCAUUCCUUCUCUCUCGUGUUACCAAGACAGGACUGUCUUCAUGCAUAUUUCACUGAUACAUAACCUUAUGAAUGCAAUGAAUAACUCACAUUCAAUUCAAUUGAGACAUAAUCUUGUGAAUGCAACGUGUUCACAGCACAUACAUAGCUCACAGGAAAUUCUAAAUAUCAUUCCGAUCUAGAUUUGCCAUAGGUAAAUGCCAACAGCACCAUGCCACCAUUUUAAAACUUCAUCAUAGAAAGAGAAGAGCUCCCUGCUCCUACGUAAUAUAUGAACUUCAACAGCAUCGGGAAACACAUAUGAAAAAUAUCAAAUAAUUGAUAUGUCUCUAGAUUCAACCUCCCAGGGUUAAAGCUAAAUACUCCGAAUGGUCGACAGUAAGUCAUAUAUACUCGAUAAAAACACCCAUCUUCAGCACCACUACUUAAAAAAAUGCACAUGCAGCAUUCCUUAGAUGAUGGUUACUCAUCUAGAAUUUAAGCUGCAGUUCAUUUAAUAACCAGAAGCAUUAUAUCAAAGAAGCAACAAUCAGGCUAUCAAAGCCAUAACUCAUCAUGUUAAGUUAAAAGCUAGAUCAAGUCCCUUUGAAUCUCGUUCUGGUGCAUAACAAUGGGUACUCACAUGCAAGGAGUGGAGUAAACAUUCUAUAGCACUUAUAUAGCUUCACCCUCAAAAAAUAAAAACCUUCCACAGGAUCAAGCAAACAUAGAAAACAAGCUGAUUUAUCAUUCACUUGUUUAGCAAUUCUUUUUCUCAACAACUGUAAAAAGAGGGAAAAUAGCCCAGCUACGGGACGUCUCAUAGCCUGUUCUGUAUUGAAGCCAAUGAAAAGUUGUGUACUAUUGAGAGAACUAACCAAACUUGAGCAGAAAAAAUUUCCCUUCAUCCUAUCAUUGCGAUACCAAAUACCCAAACGGAUUUUAUCUUAAUCAUUUAACUGACGAAAUUUGUCGAUUAAGCAAAACAACAAUUAUAAUAAUUAAUCAAGAAAUAAAUGAUAUAAACCUGAUUUAUUCACCACUGCCACUACUCUCAGAGUCUUCUGGGACAAAGGAACACUUUAAUACACUUGAUAUCUUCAUACUUAACAACUGCUGGAGACAAAGAAUGGAGCAGGAACAAUAAUUGCUCAUUUGAGGACAAAAAGUUUUCUUCAGCAAAAUAAGUCAAGAGGUUUUAUUUUCCUUCCCAUGAACAUACCUCAUUUGCCUAACAUUCAAAUAAUUGCUCUCAAAGGUAGAAACUAAUAUACCACCUAUAUCCUCUAUCAACCACACAAAAACAGAAUUGCUAUAGAUAAAUAGAAAAACUGAAUUCAAAUACAAAAUUAAUUAAAAAAAAAAGUGAUACGUACCACUUAAAAAGCCAUAUAAAAUCAAUUCCCCAAAUAGAAAUCAAUCAAAGAUUAAACUCAAAUUUUAAAAAUUCAAUGAAAAAAAAGAGAAUCUUUGAGCACAAACACCAGCUACAAAGUGCUCACAAUCUAGAAAACAAAGAAACGAAAAUUUGAAAGAAACAAAUAUGACAAAACUUAGGGUAAGAACAAAAUUUUGUAAAAUACCGGAGAGGAAGUAAUGAAUCUGGGUAGUCUCGCCAAGAUGCAUGCCCAUGUGUCUGUGAAAGUGAACGAAGGGUGGUGCGAUUAAAUAGAAGAGGCAGGAAUUGCUAGAUAAUUGUUGAUGAGCUGAGGGAAUUUUUUGUCUUUUAACCAUCGGCUCUCUACGCUCUAUUGUUGUCCCAGAUUAACACUAGAGCUGUGAAAGAUGAAGAUGAUGACACCACAGGUAAAUUUACCUCCAUGCUUGGUCUGUGUAGAAAAGGAGUAUACAAUGGAAGAGAAGCAAUUUGUGGACAAUUGGGAGAUCGGAGUGGGGAGACAGAGUGACAACAAUGGAAGGUUAGAGGAGAGAGUGGAAUUGCUAGGAUGUUUGUCAAGUUCACGGCAAAAGCCACUGGAAUUGUUAAAACUUACAAGAUAACCAGUCCAUUAUCUAACCAAAAGAUGAAGAUGCCCCAAAAAAUUCAACAAAUCCACAAUAAUACCGCAACAGUCUCAGCAGCCAACCAGAGAUCAAAUUAGAUGAUGAAAUCAAUUGAUAACCAAAUAACCACAGCAACUGCUUUAAAUUACCAAAUAACCAAAUCCGGUCAAAAUAAGUGGCCCAGUCAAAAUAAUUGAGCAUCUAAAUUGGAAUUCAAUUGACAAUCCAAUUCCACUCAUUCUCAUCUUUACAAUAUUAAGGAUGUAUAUACUAGUUAUUGAGCAACAUGCCCAGACAGUGUGGAAUGGCAUAUAGAUUUAUAGCCGCAAACUGCAGAAACAUACAACUAAAAAAUUACUGUGCAAAGCCACAGCUUCUCCAUUCUGGCUUGCUAAUCUGCUUUAACUGCAGCUUUAAAGCUAUUCAUCAUGUAUUGCAAGAGAUGCACAAACUUCAUGUAAAAACUACAAUCAUAACCAAAAGCAAAAUUACAUUGUCAUAUUACUGAAGAGCUCCAACCUUAGGAAGCUUGCACAUUCUAUCUUUCUCAAGAUAAGAAGGAUAGCAAAGCUCACUAAGAGAAGCAAGUCCAACUAGUAUUUAUUGAUAUCAUGACAUGGUACAAGAUUAAAUUAUAACUCAUUCAGAGAUUAUACUCCUAAUUCAUUUAUUCCGGUGUAAAAUAUGCUAAAAAUAUGUUCUUCGAAGAUGGUAUCUCCCAAGAGAUACUCAAAUUUGUCCCUAAAAGCAAGCAUAAAACCAAAAUAACAAGUGUUGUUCCUUUGAGUACCGGCAUGAAGCCAUGAAUGUAAAAACUUUGAAACAACUUUCUUUGAAUGUAAAAAACCAUGAAUGAUUGAAUGGUCUAUACAAAAAAGCACGAUACCAUGCCAUUUUAUAAUCUUGAUAAGUAAAUCCAUCUGGAAUGAAUCUGACUGAGAAAGAUUUCUUUGAAUAAAGAGAAGUCCAUUCAUUGGGAGAACAAACUUUCUUUAUAAUGCAUUUUGAAUGACUAACAAUUUCAGGGUUCUUUUGAUCAGGAAUAGGAAAAAUUUCCACAGAUUGAGUAUCUGGAAAGAUCAAUUCAUAAUAAUCCAGAUUUUUAGACGGAUCGUCUGGUUGCCAAAAACAUUUUGAAGGAAAGAUUCUUUGAGUAAAGGAAUUAAGAGUGUUAUAAAGAGGAACUUCUUGGAAUCUAGUCAAAGUAAUAUGUUGAGUGAAUGGUUUAGUAAAAUAUGAAUUUUCUUUGACUUUUUCUGAGGUUCUUGGAAUCUGUUGAAUGGGUCUUAUUUGAGAAGAAAUUGGGGUACGAGCAGCUUGACUAUAAGUCAAUGCUGGAAAAUCUUGCAAUAAUUGGAAUCGAUUUUGAGUUACAGGAGUAAGACUCAUCUCAUAGUCUUGAGGAGUCUUAGGUCUUCCUGCUUUUGAAUCCAUGAUCCUGCAAAAUUCAAAGUCAAAAAAUAAAGUUGUUGAGUUUCUCUCGAAGCUGUUUAAUUUGUUGGUCAUAAUAUUGAAUCUCUUCUUGAGGAUGACCGGCUUUUUUGAGGACAUCUUUAAAGAUAAUAUUGGAAUUAAUUUGUCUUGUGAGAAGAAAGGCUUUUUCUUUUGGAGUCUGAACAGACCAAAAACUUGGUCGAAUAUAAACUGGGGAAUGAUUUUGAAUCUGAUGAUGAGGAAUAGGCUGAAUUUGUCCUUGUGAAUUUUUAAUAUAGUAAGUAUGAUAUCUAUGGGAAAUGUUUUUAUCUUUUCUUUGAAGAAUAGGAUCGUCCCUUUCUUUUCUCCGCCUGCGAAUAUAUUCUUUGUGGGUUUCACGUUCCAUUUCCCUGUAAAAAUUCUCUAGUCAAGAAGUCAGGGAGAGAAUUAUUUUCUCCUUUAAUAAAUUCUAUUUCGAAAUCAAAUACAGAUAGAAUUGCUUGCCAUCUAGCAAAUAUUUGUUUUGAAACAAUAUUUUGAACAUCUUUUUGUAAAACUUCUUUUGCUGAUUUACAAUCUAUUCUAAAUAAAAAAUUUUUAUUAUAUAAAUCAUCUUGAAAUUUUGAUAUACAUAGUACUAUAGAUAAAAUUUCCUUUUUGAUAGUGAAAUAAUUCUUUUGUGGACCGGACCAAGUUUCUGAAUGGAAUCUAACUAAUUCUUCUUUUAGAUCAUCUAUUUUUUGUUUUAGAAUUCCUCCAUAUCCUAAUUCUGAUUCAUCUGUUUCGACUAUCAUAAAGGCUUUAGGAUGAGGAAGACAUAAACAUGGUAAUGAUUCAAUUUUCUCUUUAAGAUAUUUAAUUUUUUGAGUAUGUUCUUCAGUCCAUGGUUUAGGGUUUUUCUUUAAUCUAUCAAACAAUAUAGCACAUUCUUGUCUUAAUUUAGGAAAGAAAUCUGCAAUGUAAUUUAAACAUCCUAAAAAUCUUUGUAAUUGAUUUUUCUCUUUUAUUUCAUCUGGAAAUUUACUUGCAAAUUCUAAAUCUCUAUUUAUUGGUUUUAUUGUUCCUUCAUUUAUAUCAUAUCCUAAAAAUCUUACUUUAGUUUGGAAUAGUUUCAUUUUUUAUGCUGAAACAAGUAACCCAUUUUUCUUAACUACCUUUAGAAAUAUAUUUAAAUGUUUAAAAUGUUGUUCUAAUGAUUCUGAAAAGAUUAAUACAUCAUCUAUAUAAACUAUGCUAAAUGAACUAUAAGGAUUAAAUAUAUCAUUCAUUAUAUUUUGAAAUUCUGAAGGUGCAUUUUUUAAUCCAAAUGGCAUUACCUUCCAUUCAUAGUGUCCAAAGGGUGUUGUAAAUGCUGUUUUAUAUCUGUCUUCAUAGGCUAUUAAUAUCUGCCAAUAUCCUGACUUCAUAUCAAAUUUUGAAAAUAUUUUUGCAUUAUGUAAUCUAUUUAAUAAAUUCUUUUUAUUUGGAAUUGGAUACCUAAUCCAUUGCAAAACUUUAUUUAAUGGUUUAUAAUUAAUAACUAAUCUUGGAACUCCUCUUUCUUUCUCCGCUUGAUUCAUGACAUAAAACGCAGCACAACUCCAAGGUGAUUUUGAAGGUGUUAUUAAUCCUUUAUCCAGUAAUGCUUGUAUCUCUUAAAGCUAGAUAUAUAGGAGCAUCUACUCCUAGAUGGAAUAAAGGUUUUACUGCAACUUGAAUUAAACCUAUAUGAAUAUAUCUAUAUCCUUUACUAAGAUAUUUCUGAAUUGUAUUAUGAUUUAAUAACGGAAUUGUUUGAUAUUCUUCUUGAAUAGAAAUCGUUUCCUCAUGAGUUUUAACUGAUAAUGCUGUUUUGAAAUCUAAUGGGUCUAUUCUAUAAAUAUGUUCUAUUUUUUCUUCUGGAAUAGUCCAAUCUGAAUUGUUUACAGGCAUAUGAUAUUCAUGACUUUGUACUGUAUUUACUUGUUUUGAAUUAGGUCCUAUCUUAAAUUGUCUACGAAAUGCAGCCAUGGUUAAUAUUUUAUUUAGUCUUUUAUCUUAUCAGGAACAAUCGAGCUUAUGCGUGGAACAUCCUAUCCUGGACUUACCAACCGACUUACAAAACUUCAAAAUCUUACCAAUGAUAGGAUAAAAUCGUAAAUGAAAUAUAUAACUUAAAAGCAUAAAUUAGAAAUUUAAUAUAGGAAAUAAUUCAAAAUUAGCAAUAUCUAUGGUCUGGCUCUGAUACCAGAACCUACCCAGGCAUAUGAAAGCAUAUAUGAAUGCAUAUAAAGUUUAGAGAAAUCAGACUUACAAUUAAUCAGAGUGAUAUUAGCAAUGGAAGCUUUAAAUUUCAGAGGCUUUUGGAUGAGAUCAAACUUCGAACUUCUAUUGAACUUCUUGAAUUAAAGGGCGUACAAAGAAAUAUAAAAACUGGAAGAGGAAGGUUUACAGAGAGAAAUUCUUAAAUUGGCUAAAAGACUCGAUGCCCUUUCCUUUGAUAUUGAAUCCUAUUUAUAGAGACUUCUUUCUGUGAAUUUCAUUUGCAUUUUCAUGCCGACACUUUCAUGCCGACACUUUCAUUUGAAUGUUAUUUACUUUUCUUGCCGACACCUUAUCUUCUUGUAAUUGGUCCUUUUGAGAUUCUUAUCCUAUCUUGAAAUCGAUAUCUUUGAGAUUGGCCGACAACUUUAUUAAAAGUCUGUCGGGUCUUGAGCGCAUGGGCCACCAAAAGGAUCAAAAGUGGAUUCUGAUGAUGAUCCGGCUGACUCAUCUUUUUUGUCUUCUUCCUUUUUGUCUUGAUUUUGCAAAUAAUUCAGAUAUUCCUUGAGCAUUUCUGGAUUUUGCAUCAUCUUUUUCAUCAGGAAAUGAUUUGCAACUGUUUUCGUUGUUGAGCAGUUUUCUUUUUCUUUCUUUUGUGGGGUUGUUGGAAUGUUAACUCCUUUGGUAUUUUGCUGAUUUGGAUUUAUCCAUUUGAGCUUCUCUCCUGUUUCCAAGAAUCUUAAAACAUUUCUCUGGUCACAGAAUUCUUGAUUGAAUCCUAUCCACCAUUUGAUCUUGAAUUCUCGAACUAGUGACAUUGGAAGUGAUUUUUCAAGUUCUUGAUGAAUUUUGAAACUCUAGCAAAAAAUUCAUGGUACUUUGAAUUCCAUAUGGAAUAAUAUUGGUCUUGUCCAAAAGUAAUAUUUUCGAAUGAAAUAACAUCUGUUCCCAUUUCUUUUUGUAAAUUAUCCCUUAUUCUUUGUGAAAAUAAAUUUGGUAAUCCUGUAAUAAAUCUUUCUUUCCAAAAUGAAGCAUUACAAUCUGGUCUUCUUAAUACAUUUGUUAAAAACAUAUCUUUAUACCAUCUAAAAUCUGACAAAGUUGGACAUCUUAAAUUUGUUAAAAAUGUUUUAUUUGCAUUUAACUCUUCUUUUGGAUUUCCUACAAAAUACAUUACUAUAGUAACAAUUAAAAAUUCUGCAGCAUCUGAUUGUACUUGAAUAUUACCUUGAUCAUCUUCUACUUCUAUUGUAUGAUCUAAUAUUGAUAAUUUAUCUUGAAAUGUUAAAGCAUUAUCCUACCAAUUUUUUAAUUGUCCGGUAAAUCCUGAUACUAGUAAUGUUGCAAUAUUUCUUUCUUGAAUAUUUUUUAACUUAUAAGCUAGUCUUGCCAUUCCCAUUUCUUGUAAAGUGUUUAAUACUUCAUAUUCUGCUCUUCCGUUUAUAUUUCAUUCAUAAAUUGAAUCUCCAUCAUAUUUUGUGGUAUGAAAUUUUGAUCUUUCUUCAUAUUGGAUAUCUGGGGGACUAGGUCUUGGAUAAUAAUUUCUAGUGCUUACUAUUUGCCAAUCUUUUUUAUUAUUUUUAAAAGGUCUUUUUCUUCUUAUUUUAUUUAUUUGAUUGUUAUCUUCUUCUUUAAAUUGCUCUUCUAUAGGUAAAAUUAUAUCUUCAUUAUUUUUCGAGUAGCUUGAUUCUUCUGAUGAUAUUUCUUCGUUUAUUAUAUUAUCUAAUGUAUUUAUUCUAGGAGUUUGAGUCUGAGCUUCUGUUGUUAGACUUUGCAAUGUUUGAGAUAUUCUAUUUAAUAUAUUAUCUGUAUUAUUUAUUCUUUGAGUAUUAAUGCUUUGAAUUAAUUCUUGCUCUCUAUCUCUUGUUAAGCUUCUAGGUUGAAAAUGUGGUGCUGAAACAUCAUUAGGAAAUUUUGUAACUGGUUUCUGAAUACUGUCUAUUUUAGUACUUAUUACUUCUAUAUGUUGUGAUAUAGUAUGCAGAAUUUGAUUUGUGUAAUUAUUUUGUUGGUAUAAUUUUUUAAUAUCAUCUAGAUUCACAUUAUUGCUAGUACUACUUGCUUCUGCUUCGCGUCCUUUUUUGAAAGGGGAUGCAAUAACUUCUCCUUGUCCUAAAUUAAUUUUUACUUCUUGUAAUGGAGGAUGAAUUAAGGUUACUAUUUGAUCGUCUUUUAAUUUUCAUUUUUUAUAUAAACUAGUUUGAACAUUUAUCUGUGGUGUAUUAUAUAUAUCAAUUAUUCCUGUUUUUGAAAUGUAAAAUGAUAACCAAGUAAAGAAGGGAAAAUCAAAUUUUCUAUUUUCUAAUUCUUUUUUCCAUUCUAAUAUUAAUUUUUCUUUACACUCUGGCGACAAUUGAAAAAAUCAAAUUCUUUUUUCUGUAUUUUCUUCAUCAUCAAAAUCUUCUUGUAAAUAUUUAUGAUUUAUUUUAUAUUUUUUACUUAUUACAUUUAUUUCACCUCGCAUUUGAGAAUGUGUUGGGGAAUAUUCUGAUUUAUUUUGAUUAAUUACUUCUAGAACAGGAGUUUUAAAUUUAAAUGUUGAGGAACUUUCUGGAAUAAAAGUUGUAUCACUUGAUUCAUAACUAGAUCUUCUAGCCGGAAUCCAUGAAUGACUUGAAGUUGAAGAUCUUUCUCUAAAUGAAGAAAAUCUUAACAAAACUUUUCCAUCAGGUUCUUCUAUAAUAUCUUCUACAUUUGUUUGCUCUAUGUUUCUUGGUGCUUGUGGAUUUUGAAUUAUAAAUUCAUUAGGUAUACUUAUUUCGUUCCAUUUUAAUCUUUUGGGAGUAUAAAUAGUAGGCCUAUCUGCAUCAACUUGCAAUAAUGUUGUUUCAUCUUUUAAAGUUUGAGUCAUGAUAAAUUUUGGAUUUAGUUGAGAGGACAAUGGUCUAUAAUACAUUUUAUAGAUUAUAGCAAAAUUCUUAGUAUGUUUUUCAAAUUCAUCACCUUGUAAAUGAAUAUCUAAUAUGACUGAAUUCAGAACAUGUGGAUCUGUUAAGUCUACUGAAAAAUUUGGAGCACAGUUAAAGUAAAUUGGUCCAUUACAUACAUUUGUUUGAAUCAUAGAUAAAAGAGAGGUUUUAUAUCUUUUGAGUCUUGUAUCUCUUAAAGUUAGAUAUAUAGGAGCAUCUACUCCUAGAUGGAAUAAAGGUUUUACUGCAACUUGAAUUAAACCUAUAUGAAUAUAUCUAUAUCAUUUACUAAAAUAUUUCUGAAUUGUAUCAUGAUUUAAUAACGGAAUUGUUUGAUAUUCUUUUUGAAUAGAAAUCGUUUCCUCAUGAGUUUUAACUGAUAAUGCUGUUUUGAAAUCUAAUGGGCCUAUUCUAUGAAUAUGUUCAAAAUUUCUCCUUAUCCAUUAAUCCAUGUAAGCAAGAGCAGGAUCCUUGUAAAUCUCCUCUAUAACCCAUUUUGGGGGGAGAAAAUCUAAACAACGAAAUGCCAGACAAUAAUUUGUAAACGUACCUCAUUUGGUCCCCAUCUGGUGUUCACGAAGGCGCCGACGGCGAAGACAGCGGCUAAGAAGAGUAAACCCCAUAUAUCGUUAAAUCUUUGGUUGCAGUUGUUGAUCUUUUCCUGCAACUUUGUAACCUCAAGCUGCAUUUCCAUUUGCUUGGCGCUCAAAUUGGCAACUUCCGACGCUUUAACUGCCGUGGCACGGGCCUCCCUAUCCAGCAUCUGCUCCAAUUUCUUUUGCAAUAACACGAGACCUGUGGCGAUUGAUCCCGUGACGACCGAUGAUAAAGCUAAAUCGCCAAGGUUAAUGUCAGUCUCGCCUGGGGCGGAGGUUGGGGUUUGGGUUACAGGGGUCGGGGUCCCGGUCCCGGACGUAGGGGUCGGGACCGGGAAUUGGGUAGGGAUCGGGGUCGGUGUGGAGGUCACGGUUGGGGUCGGGUCAGCCACAGAAAUGGGGGUGGAUUGGGACUCGACGGUUGAAAACCGUCUUCUCACCUCUGUAAAUCUGGGAACAACAUUUGGAUGGCAGUAAAUGAUACUGGUAGCGAGAAAAAUAGGCAUGAAAACAAGAUUUAACAAGUAAACUAAACUUAGAACAAGUUUUCAUUUGAUGUCCGGAACUCUAAUUUUAGUAGGUUUAAAGCGUGUACGAUGUCUUCCAUCACAUAUUUGCUUGCUGUAAAUAUAAUAUGAAUGAGACUUUGCAUCUCUGUACACCGAUCGUGUAAUCUUGAACUCUUGAUUACUUGAACUAAACAAAUGGAAACUUGUUCUGAGUUUAGUUUACUUGUUGACGCUCCGCAGAAAUUUAAUAGCUUAGAGAAAGUUGCGCAGACAUUUACCUGAUUUUUGCUUUGCCAAUCCACAUUUGGAUUUCGGGGAUGUUUUGGAUUGUAAGGAUGGGAGCUCUGGCCGGAAACGGAAACGGAUUUUAAUCCACCAAGAACGGUUAGAAGUUAAAUGGAGGCCUGUGUCUUUUGCCCUAAUAAGUAAUAAGUAGCAGCGAUUUUUAUUUUUCUUUUAAAUGAGGAGGGAGGCUUGCUUGUUAAAUUGAGAGUUUAAAUUACCAAACCAAUUUAUGAAUGUCCCAUUACAAGAAAUUGCAAAGGCAACUUAUAACAGCAAAUCUUAAAGAUUAAUUCUCACACAUGGCAUACUUCCUUAUACUGCAAUUAAACAAUUUCAUUAUCAAGAGAAAAGCAUAAAGCCAUUCUAGUUCUAAACACUAAACCAUAGGCAUGGAACCCUGCGUUUAGCAUCACUAUGAAUUCAUCAAGAUAAAUGUAUCCAGCCAACCGUAACAUUACAAGAGAAAAAUAAGUAUCCAGUCAAUCAUAACACUACAAACAAAAGUAACCCAUGCAUAGCAUACGUGUUUAAACAAUUUUCAUCACUAAAGUUGCACAACAAGCUCAGUUUAUAUUAGCUUAGAGGGCUCUAAAACAUCACCAACAGCAGAUAUCCAGGUCUGCCUUCCAUAUUCCCCCUACUUAGGUUUCAUCAUAUCUGCAGAAGAAGAAACAGAAUUUCAAUCAGGAGUGCAAUCUCAUGCAGUAGAAUAAGAAAACAAGUACUCUUAUGAAACUCAGAAGGCCAAAGGAGGUCAUGUUGCCUCACCUUUGUCACGGGCAAUACAAGGCUGACACAUUAACCUCCAUAUUCACAACCAAGAUAUUACUGUAAAAGUUGAAUGCAUACCAUGAAGCAGAGUUAAACAUGAUGGAACAUUACAAGGACCAUAUUGUUAUCGAUUGGUACCACAUUAUGCAGAAUGCAGAACAUUCCUACAAUAUCUUUUGAACCUGUGGAGUAGGAGGAUAAACACAAGCACACACCUAUGCAGGCACACAACUGAACUCAUCCAAAUAGAAAUUCAAAGACAUUGCUCAUAUUUUUCCAAUUAAAUUAAAUGACUAGAAACUUGAGUUUGCCAUCCAAAAAAAAAAUUGAAAGAAGAAAAUAAAACAUGAUUACCACUAAAAAAUUUGAAAGAAGAAAACAAUGAUAAUCACUAAAAAGAAAUUGAAAGAAGAGAAAAAAAUUGUUAUCACUAUAAGGUGCAACCUUCAACGAUUAGAACCUCAAAAUACUCAAUGCAAGACUUCACCUUAGGAUUUUGAAGACCUUCAAGCACCCAUCAUCAAUCUUUUAGAAUCAACAACCAUUUAAUCCCAUUCUCAUCAAAACGGUCCAAUGUCCAAGAAUUGAAGGAAAAUGACGUAUCUAUUUCUUCCUAAAAAGAAAAGGCGAAAUCAUCUAAUAAUUACUGUAUAAAUGUACAUUUGCCUGGGGGAUUCUACAUUAUAAAAGUAACCAAUGAAAAAGGGAGGAUUAAAUAUCGUUGUCUUCUUCUGAGCAUAGGAAGAAAAAAAAACUGAAAUCCAAUCUACAAUACUGCAAAAUUACCAUUGAAUAAAAACUUCACCUUGAACAACAUGUCCAGUUUCUCUCUAUUAUUGAAGGAGAGGGUGAUACCCAGUAGCUCUGGUUAAAACAAUUUUUUUUUGAGAAGCUAGUUCCAAAUGGUAAAGAUUGAGAGUAACUAAAAGUUAUAUAGCCACCCAAACUUAACAACAAUUGGAUGUAAUGACAGGUAAGUCAGGUGCACACUGUGCAGCGGAGAAGGACGACCAAGAAUCUUGGCAAAAUUGAGAAGAAACCCAGAAGCAGGAGCAACAGGUGCAGCCAUUGAGAGGAAGAACAAACGCACAACCAGUACAGAGAUUCCUCAGUGAUGUGGCACAAAAAACUAACUGAAAUACCAAGAUGCAAAUAUGGUGUUCUAGUAUUCAAAAGAAUAGAGAAGACAAUUAGUUGCAAACUUUUUUUCAAUCCAAAAUGUGUACACACACAAACAUGUAUAUAUGUGUAUGUAUGCAUUUACGUAUAUACAGGGAGGUGUAUAUAGCCAUAUAUACAUAUAUGCAACUAUACAUAUAUGUAUAUACAUGAAUAUGCAUACAUACAUAUGUACUAGUUUAUCUGUUGCCACACAUUCGCGUGGCUUUUCCCCGAUUUGAGUGCAGGAAAUGGUUAAUCUAGACCUAUGUAUAUAUCUGUAAAGUUAAUUAUCUGCCGCACUGUUCUAGGAGCUAAUUGGAAGAAUGUAAAAAUAUUGAUUAUAAUCAACAAACAGUAUGAAUUCCUGAAGUGAGAAGAAAGUUUCAAUAAAGUCUAUUAUAUUACAGUGUGAAUACUUCGUCAACCAUACCACGGGCUGAAAAACAGGCAAGCAAUUUUCAAUGAAUGCCACAAAAGGUGAAGCCAAGCAGGGUGGUCAUUGCUGCUAGAAAAGGCACGCCACUGCUAAGCACAAAAAGAGAGAGAUUUACAUUAUGAAAAUUUGGAAAAAAGAGUUGCUCAUCUAGUGCUUUUUGUUACCUAUUCUCUUGCUAGUAAAUAGGACCUACGUUGAGAAUGUAGCACAAGUAUUUGAUAAGGACAAAAAACUCACAUCCAUACAAGACUAAUUAGCAAAAUUAGAAAAUCAAAUGCUGAAAUUUAGUUGGGAAAUAUAGACCAUUGCUGCUUUGGCUCUGAACUUACAAAGCCUAACAUUCAGGUAUUCAAAUUUGUUCAUCUCAGUAUUGCAGUUUAGGUUUUGGACUUUCAUUUCCUAACCAACAAUUUAGCAAAUAUGGUCAGAAUGAUGAUAAAAUUAUGUCGAUGCAAGUAAAUAAAAUACUUGCAUAAAGUACAAGAAGCCAAGGAACUCUCUUAUCAUCCAAUUUAAGCAAAUUCUCAAGCUCACAACAUUCUUGGUGUCAAAUAUACCCGCAGCAUUUGCACUUCUAUUUGUAUGGACUGCCAUUUAAACUAUCCUCCUCUAGGUUGCCAUUAUGUAGACUACACACCUUAGCCUUUCCAUCUUCCCACCACCGCAUUCCUUCUCUCUCGUGUUACCAAGACAGGACUGUCUUCAUGCAUAUUUCACUGAUACAUAACCUUAUGAAUGCAAUGAAUAACUCACAUUCAAUUCAAUUGAGACAUAAUCUUGUGAAUGCAACGUGUUCACAGCACAUACAUGGCUCACAGGAAAUUCUAAAUAUCAUUCCGAUCUAGAUUUGCCAUAGGUAAAUGCCAACAGCACCAUCCCACCAUUUUAAAACUUCAUCAUAGAAAGAGAAGAGCUCCCUGCUCCUACGUAAUAUAUGAACUUCAACAGCAUCGGGAAACACAUAUGAAAAAUAUCAAAUAAUUGAUAUGUCUCUAGAUUCAACCUCCCAGGGUUAAAGCUAAAUACUCCGAAUGGUCGACAGUAAGUCAUAUAUACUCGAUAAAAACACCCAUCUUCAGCACCACUACUUAAAAAAAUGCACAUGCAGCAUUCCUUAGAUGAUGGUUACUCAUCUAGAAUUUAAGUUGCAGUUCAUUUAAUAACCAGAAGCAUUAUAUCAAAGAAGCAACAAUCAGGCUAUCAAAGCCAUAACUUAUCAUGUUAAGUUAAAAGCUAGAUCAAGUCCCUUUGAAUCUCGUUCUGGUGCAUAACAAUGGGUACUCACAUGCAAGGAGUGGAGUAAACAUUCUAUAGCACUUAUAUAGCUUCACCCUCAAAAAAUAAAAACCUUCCACAGGAUCAAGCAAACAUAGAAAACAAGCUGAUUUAUCAUUCACUUGUUUAGCAAUUCUUUUUCUCAACAACUGUAAAAAGAGGGAAAAUAGCCCAGCUACGGGACGUCUCAUAGCCUGUUCUGUAUUGAAGCCAAUGAAAAGUUGUGUACUAUUGAGAGAACUAACCAAACUUGAGCAGAAAAAAUUUCCCUUCAUCCCAUCAUUGCGAUACCAAAUACCCAAACGGAUUUUAUCUUAAUCAUUUAACUGACGAAAUUUGUCGAUUAAGCAAAACAACAAUUAUAAUAAUUAAUCAAGAAAUAAAUGAUAUAAACCUGAUUUAUUCACCACUGCCACUACUCUCAGAGUCUUCUGGGACAAAGGAACACUUUAAUACACUUGAUAUCUUCAUACUUAACAACUGCUGGAGACAAAGAAUGGAGCAGGAACAAUAAUUGCUCAUUUGAGGACAAAAAGUUUUCUUCAGCAAAAUAAGUCAAGAGAUUUUAUUUUCCUUCCCAUGAACAUACCUCAUUUGCCUAACAUUCAAAUAAUUGCUCUCAAAGGUAGAAACUAAUAUACCACCUCUAUCCUCUAUCAACCACACAAAAACAGAAUUGCUAUAGAUAAAUAGAAAAACUGAAUUCAAAUACAAAAUUAAUUAAAAAAAAAAGUGAUACGUACCACUUAAAAAGCCAUAUAAAAUCAAUUCCCCAAAUAGAAAUCAAUCAAAGAUUAAACUCAAAUUUUAAAAAUUCAAUGAAAAAAAAGAGAAUCUUUGAGCACAAACACCAACUACAAAAGUGCUCACAAUCUAGAAAACAAAGAAACGAAAAUUUGAAAGAAACAAAUAAGACAAAACUUAGGGUAAGAACAAAAUUUUGUAAAAUACAAGAGAGGAAGUAAUGAAUCUGGGUAGUCUCGCCAAGAUGCAUGCCCAUGUGUUUGUGAAAGUGAACGAAGGGUGGUGCGAUUGAAUAGAAGAGGCAGGAAUUGCUAGAUAAUUGUUGAUGAGCUGAGGGAAUUUUUUGUCUUUUAACCAUCAGCUCUCUACGCUCUAUUGUUGUCCCAGAUUAACACUAGAGCUGUGAAAGAUGAAGAUGAUGACACCACAGGUAAAUUUACCUCCAUGCUUGGUCUGUGCAGAAAAGGAGUAUACAAUGGAAGAGAAGCAAUUUGUGGACAAUUGGGAGAUCGGAGUGGGGAGACAGAGUGACAACAAUGGAAGGUUAGAGGAGAGAGUGGAAUUGCUAGGAUGUUUGUCAAGUUCACGGCAAAAGCCACUGGAAUUGUUAAAACUUACAAGAUAACCAGUCCAUUAUCUAACCAAAAGAUGAAGAUGCCCCAAAAAAUUCAACAAAUCCACAAUAAUACCGCAACAGUCUCAGCAGCCAACCAGAGAUCAAAUUAGAUGAUGAAAUCAAUUGAUAACCAAAUAACCACAGCAACUGCUUUAAAUUACCAAAUAACCAAAUCCGGUCAAAAUAAGUGGCCCAGUCAAAAUAAUUGAGCAUCUAAAUUGGAAUUCAAUUGACAAUCCAAUUCCACUCAUUCUCAUCUUUACAAUAUUAAGGAUGUAUAUACUAGUUAUUGAGCAACAUGCCCAGACAGUGUGGAAUGGCAUAUAGAUUUAUAACCGCAAACUGCAGAAACAUACAACUAAAAAAUUACUGUGCAAAGCCACAGCUUCUCCAUUCUGGCUUGCUAAUCUGCUUUAACUGCAGCUUUAAAGCUAUUCAAAAUGUAUUGCAAGAGAUGCACAAACUUCAUGUAAAAACUACAAUCAUAACCAAAAGCAAAAUUACAUUGUCAUAUUACUGAAGAGCUCCAACCUUAGGAAGCUUGCACAUUCUAUCUUUCUCAAGAUAAGAAGGAUAGCAAAGCUCACUAAGAGAAGCAAGUCCAACUAGUAUUUUUUGAUAUCAUGACAUGGUACAAGAUUAAAUUAUAACUCAUUCAGAGAUUAUACUCCUAAUUCAUUUAUUUCGGUGUAAAAUAUGCUAAAAAUAUGUUCUUCGAAGAUGGUAUCUCCCAAGAGAUACUCAAAUUUGUCCCUAAAAGCAAGCAUAAAGCCAAAAUAACAAGUGUUGUUCCUUUGAGUACCGGCAUGAAGCCACAUCCAACAGAUGCAUUCAAAAUUUCUCCUUAUCCAUUAAUCCAUGUAAGCAAGAGCAGGAUCCUCGUAAAUCUCCUCUAUAACCCAUUUUGGGGGGAGAAAAUCUAAACAACGAAAUGCCAGACAAUAAUUUGUAAACGUACCUCAUUUGGUCCCCGUCUGGUGUUCACGAAGGCGCCGACGGCGAAGACAGCGGCUAAGAAGAGUAAACCCCAUAUAUCGUUAAAUCUUUGGUUGCAGUCGUUGAUCUUUUCCUGCAACUUUGUAACCUCAAGCUGCAUUUCCAUUUGCUUGGCGCUCAAAUUGGCAACUUCCGACGCUUUAACUGCCGCGGCACGGGCCUCCCUAUCCAGCAUCUGCUCCAAUUUCUUUUGCAAUAACACGAGACCUGUGGCGAUUGAUCUCGUGACGACCGAUGAUAAAGCUAAAUCGCCAAGGUUAAUGUCAGUCUCGCCUGGGGCUAAGGUUGGGGUUUGGGUUGCAGGGGUCGGGGUCCCGGUCCCGGACCGGGAUUGGGUAGGGGUCGGGGUUGGGGUCCCGGUCCCGGACGUCGGGGUCGGGACCGGGAAUUGGGUAGGGAUCGGGGUCGGUGUGGAGGUCACGGUUGGGGUCGGGUCAGCCACAGAAAUAGGGGUGGAUUGGGACUCGACGGUUGAAAACCGUCUUCUCACCUCUGUAAAUCUGGGAACAACAUUUGGAUGGCAGUAAAUGAUACUGGUAGCGAGAAAAAUAGGCGUGAAAACAAGAUUUAACAAGUAAACUAAACUUAGAACAAAGUUUUCAUUUGAUGUCCGAAAUUCUAAUUUUAGUAGGUUUAAAGCGUGUACGAUGUCUUCCAUCACAUAUUUGCUUGCUGUAAAUAUAAUAUGAAUGAGACUUUGCAUCUCUGUACACCGAUCGUGUAAUCUUGAACUCUUGAUUACUUGAACUAAACCAAUGGAAACUUGUUCUGAGUUUAGUUUACUUGUUGACGCUCCGCAGAAAUUUAAUAGCUUAGAGAAAGUUGCGCAGACAUUUACCUGAUUUUUGCUUUGCCAAUCCACAUUUGGAUUUCGGGGAUGUUUUGGAUUGUAAGGAUGGGAGCUCUGGCCGGAAACGGAAACGGAUUUUAAUCCACCAAGAACGGUUAGAAGUUAAAUGGAGGCCUGUGUCUUUUGCCCUAAUAAGUAAUAAGUAGCAGCGAUUUUUAUUUUUCUUUUAAAUGAGGAGGGAGGCUUGCUUGUUAAAUUGAGAGUUUAAAUUACCAAGCCAAUUUAUGAAUUUCCCAUUACAAGAAAUUACAAAGGCAACUUAUAACAGCAAAUCUUAAAGAUUAAUUCUCACACAUGGCAUACUUCCUUAUAUUGCAAUUAAACAAUUUCAUUAUCAAGAGAAAAGCAUAAAGCCAUUAUAGUUCUAAACACUAAACCAUAGGCAUGGAACCCUGCGUUUAGCAUCACUAUGAAUUCAUCAAGAUAAAUGUAUCCAGCCAACCGUAACACUACAAGAGAAAAAUAAGUAUCCAGUCAAUCAUAACACUACAAACAAAAGUAACCCAUGCAUAGCAUACGUGUUUAAACAAUUUUCAUCACUAAAGUUGCACAACAAGCUCAGUUUAUAUUAGCUUAGAGGGCUCUAAAACAUCACCAACAGCAGAUAUUCAGGUCUGCCUUCCAUAUUCCCCCUACUUAGGUUUCAUCAUAUCUGCAGAAGAAGAAACAGAAUUUCAAUCAGGAGUGCAAUCUCAUGCAGUAGAAUAAGAAAACAAGUACUCUUAUGAAACUCAGAAGGCCAAAGGAGGUCAUGUUGCCUCACCUUUGUCACGGCCAAUACAAGGCUGACACAUUAACCUUCAUAUUCACAACCAAGAUAUUACUGUAAAAGUUGAAUGCAUACCAUGAAGCACAGUUAAACAUGAUGGAACAUUACAAGGACCAUAUUGUUAUCGACUGGUACCACAUUAUGCAGAAUGCAGAACAUUCCUACAAUAUCUUUUGAACCUGUGGAGUAGGAGGAUAAACACAAGCACACACCUAUGCAGGCACACAACUGAACUCAUCCAAAUAGAAAUUCAAAGACAUUGCUCAUAUUUUUCCAAUUAAAUUAAAUUACUAGAAACUUGAGUUUGCCAUCCAAAAAAAAAAAUUGAAAGUAGUGUUCUUAGAGGAAGGAGCAACUUAUUAUAUUGUCUUGAAGGUAGUGUUCUUAGAGGAAGGAGCAGCGGCAACCCUAUAACUACUUGGAAACUAGCGGAGAAAACCAAACUGAUCAAGUAGAACAGAGAGUAAAAUGGUACAUGGACCAAACAGUGGAUUAAAUUUAUCAAAAAACCCAUAAAAGUGCAACAAGCUGUAUUAUAAACAGUCCAUUAGUUACUGUUCAUAAGGCCAUUAACACUUAAAUAGUGUUUGCUAUAUUAUUAUAGGGGAAAAUGACUUGUUUCAUCCCUCACAUUUAAUAAAAAUAUUUUUUUUUGUCCCUCACUUUUAAAACAAAGUGCUAGACCAGUUUAAUAAAAAUAUUCUUUUUGCCCCUCACUCAAUAACAGUAGUGCUAGACCAGUUUCCUGAAGUCUUUCAGGAGCCUACUCAGUUACCUCCUAACAGGCAUUUGGAUCAUCAAAUCCCUUUGAAACAUGGGGCACAGGCAUUCAAAAUGAAACCAUAUAGAUAUCCUCACUCACAGAAGUCAGAAAUUGAAAGGCAGAUAGCUGAAAUGUUGAAGUCUGGGAUCAUCAAGCCAAGUAAUAGCCCCUAUGCAUUCCCGGUGCCACUAGCUAAAAAGAAGUACAAUACCUAGCAUUUUUGUGUAGAUUAUAGGCACCUUAAUGAUUUAACAGUCAAAGAUAGGCACCCGAUACCCAAAAUUGAUGAGCUCUUGGAUGAAUUGUAUGGGGCCAGAUUUUUCUCAAAAACUGACUUGAGAUCAGAGUAACAUUUUCAAACUCACCAAGGUCAUUAUGAGUUUUUGGUGAUGCCUUUCGGACUAACAAAUGCACCUGCAACAUUUUCAAGCCUUAAUAAACCAGGUGUUUGAGCCUUUCCUGAGGAAAUUUGUUUUGGUGUUCUUUGAUGACAUAUUGAUCUACAGCACUAGCUUGGAGCUUCAUCAGAAACACCUACAACAAGUAUUGGAAGUGCUCAAGCAGCACCAACUGUAUGCCAAACUCUCUAAAUGCUCUUUUGCUCAACAGGAAAUGAAAUAUUUGGGACACGCAGUAUCCAGCAAAGAGGUGAGCAUGGACAUGAACAAGGUAGAAAGCAUUUUGUCUUAGCCUACCCCUAAAUCUGUUAAAGAACUUAGAGGCUUCUUGGGGCUUACAGGUUACUACAGGCGCUUCAUACAAGGGUAUGGAGCCAUCAGCAAGCCGCUAACAAACUUACUUAAGAAGGAUGCUUAUAAAUGGGGUGCAGAUUCUCAAAAGGCUUUUGAUCACCUUAAGCAAGCUAUCAGCAGUGCUCCAGUGCUGCGACUGCCUAACUUUGAUAUCCCUUUUGUGGUAGAGUCAGAUGUCAGUGGACAAGGCAUGGGGGCUGUACUCCUGCAGGAAGGUCACCCUAUAGCAUUUAUCAGCAAGGCCUUCUCCCUCAAGAAUAUGGGGUUAUCUGUCUAUGAGAAGGAGCUGAUGGCACUGGUUUUUGCAGUCACAAAGUAGAAACAUUAUCUGGUAGGGAAUCACUUCAUCAUCAGGACAGAUCAAAAAUCACUGAAGUUUCUAUUGGAGCAAAGGUUAACCACUACUGCUUAGUACAAGUGGCUAACAAAACUACUGGGGUUAGUCUAUGAAAUCAAGUAUAAGAAAGGCUCAAAAAACACAGUUGCUAAUAUUUUAUCCAGGAGGAUUAUCCCUGAGCAUAUACCUGAGCAGCAACAACUCAUGGCAAUAACUAGUGUUCAACCUGUAUGGAUGCAGGAAUUACAGGACAGUUACUUUGAAGAUAAAUAGUGCCAGGACCUGCUGAGCCAGUUGCUGUUGGAUCCUGAGCCACAGGAUUCUGACUUUUGACUCAGCCAGGGAAUACUCAGAUAUAAAUGGAGGUUGUAUGUAGGGGACAGUCAAGGAAUCAAGCAAAAGAUAAUCAAGACACUGCAUGAGUCCCCUGUUGGAGGUCAUUCUCGCCAAAAGGCAUGUAUACAGAGAGUGCAAAGUAUAUUCUACUGACCAGGGAUGAUGUAGGACAUCAUUCAGUUUGUGCAAGGGUGUGAAGUCUGCCAGAGGAAUGAGAGUGAGCAUGUACCAUAUUCAGGCCUGCUACAGCCUCUACCUAUACCAACUCAAGCUUGGUCACACAUUACCAUGGAUUUUAUAGAGAAGCUACCUUGUUCCAAGGGAUUUGACACUAUCCUGGUAGUUAUACACAGGUUGACAAUUUGAUUGCGUCGCCCCUUCCCUAGCCCUUCGGGGAUGCCCUCAGCGUCGAGGAACAUGUACUCGGGUGUAUGUGCGACUCGUUUAGAUCAUAUCAUGAGCAGGCACAAAAGCAAAAAAACAACCUCUCCAGUAUCAAUGAUACGUACCGGCUAAUAUAAUAUGGAAGAGGGGACUCCAUUUACUAUCUAAAAAAAUAAGACGAUCUAUCAUAUCCCUCCAUUGUGUAUGAAUUUUAUGGUUUCCACUGGGCCAUCCUGGACUUGAACCAGAGACCUCGCUCGUGAUGUAAAUCAUUGCACCUAUGGUCCAACCAAUUGGGAGAGAAUCAAUAGAUUCCUUUUCGGGAGCGAUUCAUCCUUCCCGAACGCAGCAUACAACUCUCCGUUGUAUUGCGCUCCACUCUGUCUUUGAUUACAUACUUUCUAGCUAUAUAAGUAUGUAUAUUUGGAUGUAUAUUUAUCAGAUCGUGGCUUCAUGUACCAAAUGUUUUGCAUCCGAUAUUUUUGUGUGAUGGAUGCGAGAAAUAGACUUUCAUUUCCAGUCUACUAUUUAUAUUAUAUUUAUUUUAUUGAAUUAACAAAAAAUAGAAAUUAUUUCUUUUUCUUUUUCAAAGGAGUUUUAGAUUUAUCUGAAGGAAAAAGAGAUAGAACUAACAAAGAAAAUACUAAAGGGUUCAUAACUACUCCUCUUACUACAGGACGCUUACCUAGCCAACGCUUAGAUCCGGCUCUACCCAAACUUUUCUGGUUCACCCCAACAUUCCCUACUUGUCUGACUGUUGCUGAGCAGUUUUUGGAUAUCAAACGGACCUCCCCAGAAGGUAAUUUUAAUGUAGCUCUAUCACAUCCCUUCUCAGCUGCACAGAUGGCUCAAGCUUUCUUGGAUCACAUUUAUAAGCUUCAUGGUCUACCUGAGUCUAUUAUAACAGAUAGGGACAGAAUCUUUACCAAUAAAUUCUGGCAAGAGUUGUUCAGGAUGGCUGGAACUGAGUUGCACUAUAGUUCAUCCUACCACUGAGACUAUAGUGUAGGAAAGAUUAACACUUCUUUUUUUGUGUUAUAAUUCGUUAUUUUUCCCCUUUUUUGAUUCCUUAAAUUUUACACCAAAUGAUCUAUCAAUUUUAUCCCUGAAAUUUGUAACCAAACUGCUGAAUAGUUUGAUUCAUUAAAAGUUGGUUUUAGGGAUGUAAUAGCUUCGAUUUUUAAAUGUCAGGAAUAAAUUUGCUUCAUUUUAAAAGUAAGGGACGAAAAGAAUGUGAGAACCCGUAAUUUCCUAUUUUCUAGGUUUUCGUAUUUUUCAUGGCUUGUUUUCUGCAUUUUCGUGAUUAGAAAAAUUUCUAAAUAUUUUUAAGGAGCAGAUAUAAUUUUUAGAUGAUUUUUCUAGUAUCGAAUAGAUUUUGAGAAAUUAAGAGCGUAUACCGGACGUGGGACCCACUAGUGCGAAAAGUUCGGAAAAAUUCGGCCAACUAGGUUAAGUUUUGGAUACUGGGAUUAAUUUAUCGGGGGUUAAGAGAUAAUUAGAGGUUAUCAAAUGGAUGAGAGUUGGAGAGACAAAAGGAUAGCUAUGCAUUAAUAAGAGUGACAAGUGUCACUUUGUGAUUGGACUUGGAAUUUGACCAUAAGACCAUCUUACCACUUUUACCAAAUAAAUACCAAAAAAAUUGACCAAAAUUCCUUAUUUUCUUCUCUCCUUGGCCGAUUCACUUCAAGCAAAAAAAGGAAAAGAAAAGCUCUCCAAUUUCUUUGCUCCAACCUUGCUCAAUCUUCCACUUCAACCGGUUAAAUUUGUAAUUGCUCCAUAAAACUCCUCCAUUUAGUGAUUUUGAGGUGAUUGGUGAAGUUAUUUGGAAAGCUAAGGUGACCAAUUGCUCUCUCUCUCUUGUUUUCAAGGUAAGUUGUGAAGAACCACCCUCCUCCUUUAAUUGAUGCUUAAAUCAUGCUUAGUGGUAGUAUAAGAUGCAAGUUUAUGGAUUAAUUCUUGAUUUGUGGUUGAAAUAAUGAAGUUUUAUUAUUUUUGGGGAAUUUUCUGUUUUAAGAUAAGCAUGAUUGUGUGGCUAUCUAUGAUGAUUGGAAAUGGUCUAUAAUGACUCUAGGAGGUGGGAAAAGUGAUUAAUUGCAACCAAUUUCUGUUUUGGACCAAAAAUUGAAAAGUGAGGGUUUUGUGAUGAACAUUCUGUCCGAAAUUUUAGGUCAUAGAUAGAGGCCGAAUUGGCCUUAGCUCAAAACAUGAAAGUUUUAGGGAAUGACAUUUUGGAGGUGCCUACAAAAUUUCAGGUCAAUCGGAGUAGUGUGGAAUGAGAAAAGUCGAAAUUACUAUUGCUGUUAUGGUUUACCCGAAAUUGGGAUUUGCGACUGUAAUUGGUUGUUUUGGCUGGAAUUUAUUCCGAAUUGGUUGUUGAGGCCUUCUGAUGAAAUUUAGCCCUGUUUCUUAGCUUUCAACUGGUUUUGGAAUUUCUGGAUUUGGACUUGUAGAGCCUGAGUUAUGAAGUUUCCGAUAGAAUGCGUUUUGGUGAAUCUGUUUUACGUUGUUGAUGAAGUAUCUUGCAUUUUUGACCUGUUUGCACUCAAAACUGGGUUGAGUGACCUUCUGUGACAUUGUAGCCUCUUAUGUCCUAAAUAUGUCUGCAAAAUUUCAGGUUAAACGGAUCAGUGUAGCCCGAGUUAUAGACAAAACACUAGCACCUAUUUUUUUUUCAACAGCCUGAAUCAGACUUUUGUUGUUUUAUAAACCUAAUCCCAGAAUUAACCUCAAAAGCCGGCAACUCUUGAGGCAAUCCCAGGGACUUAUAUCCCAACCCAAACCCAACCCCAACCCCGAUGUGGGACAAAUGUACCUAUAGGGGGGACCUGCUGCUAAGUGGGAUUGCACCUAUUUUGGUACCCUGGAUUGUGUUCCGUUUUGAUUUUUGCUUCUGCCCAUGUUUUAUCCGUUUUGAUAACAUGCGAUCUGGGUGUUGACUCCUUCAUAAGAAAUAUAGAUCUUGGUUUUAGCUUCGAAACGGUAUAAAGUGCGUCGAAAUCCGAGUUCCGUAGCUUCCGUUAUGACCAAAACAAGAUUGAUCGUCAGAACUGCCUUUGAUCUGGACAGUUCUGACGGGUACUUUGGCACUCAAUUUUCGUUCUGUUCUGAGUGGAUUCAGGUCUCGGCCAAAACAUCAAAGUUUUAGCCUUAUGUCUCAGCUUUCUAAUGCCUUUGGAAUUUCCUGAUUUGGAUUUGUGAGCUGGGAGUUAUGGUACAGCAAACAUACCCUGUUCGUCACUCUAAAGUGCGCAUUUCUGGAACGAUUUUCCAUACUUUUGACCUAUUUCUUUUCAGAUCCGGACUUAGGUGUCUUCAUGAGAAUUGUAUCCCUUCCUCUUAGCUUCACAACGGUAUCUCAUGUACCUUGAUCCGAUAUUCCUAGCCUAACUUUUGAUCAAAACGGUUUGAGAAGGCAGAUUUGGCCAUUUCCGUUUGCCGUUCCGCGCGGGCGCGUGUGCCCAUUUUGCCGUUUCCGCACUUACAUGUGCCGAUUUUGCCGUUUUGCUUGUUUUAAAUAUGUUAGCAGCCGUUUGUGAUAUAUUGUGACACAAUCUUCAAUUUCAGACGUUGGUGAGCUAGGUGGAGCCAGUGGGGCCUACUAGCUACUACUCGCGGCACGAAUUUCGUACUUUUGCUCUUUUGUUCGUUGUGUAAGUAUUCAGGCCGCUCUUGUGUGUUAGUUGCUUAUGUGUUUCGAUAUGUAUGAAGAGGGUACCUAGGCGAGGGUGUACUUUAUCGCACUCGACCUAAACCCUAACUUGCGCACAUAUUUGUACAUGGCUUGUGUAUAUGAGCAAUUUUGGAACUAAAACCCUUGAGCUCGUGGCUCGGGGUAACUUUUGAAUAAAUUUUGUGAAGUUUGUGAGUUUGGGGUUGAUCUUCCGACCUAGAUGGACUAUUCGAGCCGGUCAGGGUUUGGUCGAAGCCAGUCCAACUUAGUCUGAGGUCACCAAGUUUGUGAAUCCGGUUCACCGAGAAUGUGGACCAAGUUUGUGACCCGAGCUUGUGACUCAAGCUCAAGUUUGUGAUUUCGUUCGCCCGGGCAAGUUUGUGAGGUGACUGGCCAGAGAGGGUGAUAAGGUGUACGGUGGGAGUACAAGUGACGUUCUACGGACCAUUAUUUGAGGUCGACGGAGUGUCGGCAGGAGGUCACACAUGGCAAACGAUCUGGCUUUGGAGCCACCUGUAUCCUUAUUAUGUGAUGUUACUUUUCUGCUUUUGCUUUACUCUUAUUGUGUAAUUGUUAAUAUGUGAGAUUUACGCUUUUGCCCCUGUUUACUUACCAAGCAUAUAGCUUACCCCUUUCCUUUUGUUUUCCUUAGCAGGGGCCGACGCGGGGACUUUUGGCACAUACACUAGCAUAGUUAGGUUUGAUUGUAACAGUCGGACAGUUGGGAUAUUUUUUUGUUUUUGUUUUGGUGGUUUGUAUAAGAACCCUCCUUAGGGUCUAUCUUCUGCUGGUUGUGGUUAUAGUAUAUUAGAGUGAUAUUUUGAAAAUGUAAUUAGAACUCUUUUGGCGUUAGAUAUAUUGUGAAUAGUACGCUUGUGGGUUUAUCUAGUUUUAUUGUUUUGAAUUUUGAGUCCCGGCGAGAGCUGGGCAGGCGGUCCGCCGAACCCUCUGGUUCGCCUUAGGGGGAGGUGGGGCUGUCACAAAGAACAUUAUUGCAAAUGUGAGUGAUUAACCUUAUUAUAAAGAAUAAAAUAAUCAUAAUGUUUAAAUGUACGUAAGUACGAUACAACAUCUACAACUAAAUCAACAGCCAUAAGCGCACCUAUAGCUAGCUUCCUGAAUGCCUAGCUCAAAUGGUUCAACUUUUAUAACUCAAUUAGUGUUGUUAAUCACUCUUUCACAGUUCAUAUAGUCCAAAUUCUAUUCUAUUCUAUUGAGACGUAAUUAAUUAUGAACUAGUUAUCACAGCUUGAGUAGUCUCCAACUGAAUUUGAAUCUUUUUUGCCAUGAAGCUGCACAACUGCAUCUUGUCGCAAUUAAAGAAAUUCAAAGAGAUAGAAAUGGAAUAAUCACCUCUAAGGGUAGCACUAAACCACCCAUCCACCUCUAAGGGUAGCACAUCAAACGACAAACAUUGCCAUAAGAAGCAUAACGAUGCCAAGCAACACUCUAAAAUAGUAAACAAAAUAGUACAAGUUAAGGGCACUAGUCCAGAUUUUUCUGGUUUUCUCAGAUGCAUGAAAAAAUACCUUAUUUUAUGAAUCAUCUCCAGCUGCGCUUCAUAUUUUAUUCUGUGCCAUCAAGAAAAGCAUCAUUAGAACUAUUACCAUUACCAUGUGUCCAAUAGAUAAUUGUCCAGAGCUUAAAACUACAUGCUAACUCCAAAGGUAAAAAGAAGGAAAAAACAACUGAAAAAGAUAUAUAAUCAUAGCUCCUCAAUCAGAUGCAAUGUAAUGCCCUAACAAAGAAACAAAUUUAUCACUGCCACAACCAUCCUCUUGCACAUACAUACAUAAAAGAAAAACGUACACAUAGACAUGGUCAACUGGUUCACAAGCAAUGCAUACUGCUCUGAAAAGAAAACAUAACAACAACAGCAGCAGCAGCCACCUAGCAUAAGCUAAAUGAUACAGAAGAAGAGAGUGCCCCCACACAGAAGUUUUCAAUUCUUCUAUGCUUAUUUACACAGAAUGCAGAAGCGAAAUCGAGUCUUUCGCAUACUAACAAUUUCUGAAAACAAAAAAAUGGGGCAAAGCACAGAAAAACCAACCCGGAAAUGUACUUGUCAAUGAUACCGGGUAACAUCCAUCCAGCUGCCAUCGAAAUACCAGCAAGAACAGCUGUUUGAUUUAUACAGAAAUAAGAAAAAGUGAGGGGCAAAAAUCCAAAAGAAAAAAAAAAUCACUUGCCUACUCUGUGCUAAGUGAUACUAACGGUAUCAAUGUUUGAACAACAAUAAGACGUGAGCUGAAGAGGGAGAGGGAGGUGGAAGACGAACUUACGUCUACGGAUGAUAAAGACAGGCAAAUCAUGCAGGCUGCAAGACAACAAAAACAAAAAUAAAAGAAAAAGUAGGAUCCAGGCUCAAUCAAGUAAUAAACCAAAAUAAGAAAUCAACUAAGAGAAAUAGACCACAUCGAAGCUUCAUAAUUUACGGCUAGAGAAUGAAUUCGCCUACACGAACUUACAGCUUCUUCUUCAGGUAAUCCAUAGUCUUCGUCGUUGUCCCAAAUCCAAACCCUGCCCUAUAAUCUACUCUGAUUCUCUCGCUCGCUCGCUCUCUUCUUAGGGAUCUGCAAUUUCAAUAUACAGUUAGGAUACUAUUCUUGAAACUUUUACUCAUUUGAGAUUAUAAGCAUGCAGCUAAGGAGUGAGGAGCGAGCAAAUUUUUUGAGUCAUUUCAUUUUGGUUCCCUCCAAUAACACGAAAAAUGUUUGUGUUUUACUCUGAAAGCCAUUCACUACUAAUUUAAGAUUCCUUUACAUUGAGAAUUUCAUUGAUCAGCAACGACGGUGCACUCAAAGGAAUGUACUCGUUCCAAUUACAUCAGUAGCUAGCAUUAGUGUUGUUCCCAACAAAUCAUCAGCAAGGGAGGAACACAUCCAACGAAAUCCCAAUUUUGCCUACUUAAAGGUAUCCUUCUCCAGUUUGCAACUACGUCCUUACAACAGGCAAGAACAGCAGAAACAGGAAUGUGCUAAAAUAUUACUUUAGCUCCGUCCGUAUGGAUUAAGUGUUUUUUAGCGUAUUUUAAUAUUCUUGUUCAUUGUUUCCCUUUUUAUCUUAGAAACCAUUCCAAAAUUAUAACAAACUCGAUUAAAGGAGGAGGAGGAGGAGGAGGAGGAGGAGGAGGAGGAGGAGGGGGGGGGGGGGGGAGAGAAUCAGGCAUUCAUCUUCUGCAGAUGAAACAAGAAUUGAUGGCAUAAUGAGAUUAACUAUUACUUCACUAGUAAUGAGCAUCAGGUACUGAAAGGAUCGUGAGUCGAAAAGAAUUGUGAACACUAAAAAAAAAAUCAAUUGUUGUUGGAUUGUCAGAUGAAUAAAAAUCAAGAAAAAUUCAAAAUAGCACCAGAAAUGGAGGAGCGGAGUUGCAAGCCGCCACUCCAACUAUUCCUGUCAGAAGAGAAGCAACACAAUACAUCUUCCCAUUAUGAUAAGCCAACUUCUUUGCUCUUUGAGAUACUCUCCCACAACUUUACAUUAUGGGUGAAGUGGGUACACAUAAUUCAGCUUAAAUCCUCAUCCUUUUGGGGGGGGGGGGGGGGGGCUAAAAUCCCAGCAGACUGCUCAUGGAGUUGGGGAAAACUUUUAAAGCUGAGAUGGUUGGAAAUGGUCAAGAUACCAACUUCUGUUAUGGCCAAUGGCAUCCAUUAUACUUGCACUUUUCUGAGAACUUGCUUACUGGAUUCAAUCUGUCAAAAUUGGACCCUAUGGCAAAAAGUUUUAAUGGUGGGGAGUGGAAAUGGCCUUGUGGGAGAAAGUUUAACGCAGAAGUUAGAAGAUUUCAGCAGCUUACUCCUUGUGAACUAAUCCUUAACCCAAAUGAAAAAGAUGCUACUGUACGGACACCUAGCAACUCGGGGGUGGGGUGCAUACAGUCAAGUCUGCUUUGCAAAAACUCAGACCAGUAUCACCCGAAGUCACCUGGUACAAACUGGGAUUCAUAGGUUUCGUAGAAUAAACCAUGCCUUGGCUGCCUCAAAUUACUCCAUCAUCUCAAGCCGAGUGUAAUUUUCACCUUUCACAUUCCAUUUCUACAGCUUUGUUUCCACCAUAUUCCAUUUCCUCCCCAUUUUUUUUUCGUGAAAACACAUGUCAAUAAACUAUUGUGCGCGGGGGCUUUUGAAAGUAAAAAUUCAAAGUUCUGAGAAGCAAUUUUGUAUAAUACUGUAAAUGUUUUAAAUGUGUUAGAUAACAUAAAAGCUGAUACAUAAUGAAAACAAAAUAUAAAAGGUUGAUUUUAAGGCAAAUAAUUCUAACAUUUUGAAUAUGUAGGAAACAAAAGAUUACGCAAUGUUGAAGUCUACUGCUAACAAUUUGUUACAAUGAUGAUUCACGAAUCCCUUGGUUUAUACAGGCUUCUGUAUCCUUUCCCCUACUAAAGUUAAGCACUUGAUAAGAGAAGAAAAAAAAAAGUCUUUAGCAAAUAAUUGAAGUUCAACAAACUAGAAAGAUUAAGCAAGAAAGGGGUAGCUAGCCCUAUAACGACUAUAUCAAUUCAACAUACAUCCCUUCAAUCAAUUUAGUCUUCAACCCAUUUGAUUUGAGCAUUUACAUCAUGUGGACAUAUGCCCGUCUUUCCCGAUGUUGUGUAGCAUGAAGAAAUUUUUUUUAAUUUACUUGGAAUACUAUACUCAUAUUUUGCUUUGACCGUCCCUUCAAUUAAUUUAAAUUUCAAUCCAUUUGUUUUGAAUCUUCACAUCAUGAGGACAUAUACCGCCUUUCCCAAUGUUGUAUAGCAAGAAGAAGAAAUUUUUUUAAAAUUUACUUGGAAUACUAUACUCAUACUCGUAUAUUGUUUUGACAUGUGAAUUAUAAAUCUGAAAUAACUUACUUGAAUAUUUAACUUUAAAAAAGUUAAGAAAUAAUAGGUGUCAAUAUAGUAACUUUUUUUUUUUUUUUUGGGUAAGUGGGAGGUCUUGAAUUCAGACCUCUUACUUAUAAUUACAAGUGUUCAUAUUUCGGGAAAAAAAAUUGAAAAAUCAGCUGAUCCAAUUUAGAUCAAAUUUCAAAACAAUGGAAUUCGGAAAAAUCAAAAUAUAAUAUUCGAUAAAAUCGUUCAAGAAUGGAUAUUAAAAAUAUAUUACCGAUUACCAACCAAAUUAGUACAUUUUUUAUUACUAAAUAUAAGAUUAAAUCUUAAUCCUAUUACUAAAUACUAAUUUGUAAUUACUAAUUAGCUAACUUAAUUAUAAUUACACUUGGAAGUCAAAUUUUGAUGGAAGUUAGCGUGUUGGAGUUUAGUUUGACAAUUAAAUUUAGAAUUCUUGUUUAUUUCAAUGUUGUUUAAGAAUUGAGAUUAUGAGUUAGGGCUUAGGAUUAUGAACUUUUUUUUUUUUUUGCAUAUCAUUUUUAUUUGAAUUAAGUUGAUUGAAUUUUAUUAAAAACAUAUGAGAUAUUAUUUUGUUACAACAAUUUUUUUGAAAAAAAUUAAAAUAUUUAAAUUCACUAUUGACAUUUUUAAUUUUGGAUAUUACCGAAUUACUGAUUUUUCAAUCCAAUUCACCAAACUAAAGUUUGGAAGGUAAUCGAAUAUUAUUGGUUUUAAACAAUCGAUUCCUUAAUUACUGGAAUUUUUUUAAUCAAAUUUUCCAUUACUGGCAAUGGACGCCUCUACUGAUAAUCUCUCUUAUUUUAUCAUCAAACUCAACCCUUCCCCUAUCAAUACGGUAACUCUGCUGUCACUCUCUCCUCUUCAGAAGAAGUUAAGGAAUGAGAGGGCAGUCACUCUGCUGUCGCUUGGGACAGGUGGGAUUCGGAACAGUAGGAGGCCAUUUGAUAAUGAGGAGCCUAGAGAAUUUGCAGAUAGGUGUGCAGUUCAAUGGCACCGGGUUGCAGUUUACCCUGAGAGGUUAGGAGCGCUAACUGUGAAGCAUGCUGUACCAGGGUGAGCCUGUUUGGAUUUAUUUAGGCUUCUGUGAUUGACAUUUUGCAAAGGUUAUGGCUAUUAAGUGUUGAAAUUCUAAAAGUUAUUGCAUAUAACAUGUCAAACUCCUAUGUAUACUAACAUGAACUUUUAAUUCAAUUGAAAGAGGUGAAAAGAAACUUAGAAUCCAAAUUAAUGAAACUUGGAUUAUGUCCAGUGUUCUGCUGGUUUCUGAGAAACGACAGCUCAUAAUUGGGAAUUUAAUACUAAAGUGAGUCAGUUUUGUAGAUUACUUGGCAGACCACCAAAUUAGAUGGUUUAUGUUGUGGUUCGAGAAUUUCACCUUUUUUUUUAUUCAAUUUGUUGGUGUUUGUACAACAAAUCCUGCUCCGUAAGUCUUACCCCUUUAGUUGUUACUAUUUUUAUUGAUACGAACUGGUGGUCCUUGGGCAUUGUUACUAUGUUUAAUCAGUCUACUUUCUCAUCAUAGUUGAUUUAUUAAAGAUUGUAGCCUAUGGAGAUUUACCUUGGCUGUUUUUCUCUGCUCUCUCUCUCUCUCUCUCUGUUUCUUUCUACUGAGUUAGCUUUGAGCACGAUUCGCCCUGCACUUAUACUCAUCAGCAUGCACUGUUCUUCACUUAACAACCAUGAGCAUCCCUUGCUCCCACGUGUUAGUGCAUCAAUCAAUUGCUCACUUUCUUUUGAGUUAUGGUUAUAUCCUUAAUGUUAUUGAUGUUUGCAUCACCUCACAGAUCAGUCUUGUACGUGGAAGGAAAUCUGGAGACUAAGAUAUUUAAUGAUCCGAUAACUGGUCUAGUUCGACGUAUACGAGAGAUUGCAAUACGCCGAAAUGGUAAGUUUAUCACCGUGUUCCCACAUACUAUCAUAAUUGCACUGUUGUUAGUUAUAGUGCUUGUCUCCAGAAACAAGAAACUAUGUUUAUUGAAGGUACAGUAUCAAUUCAAUCUGUUUUAUUUUCUGAUUUCAUGUUGGUAAACUACAUAUUUCUGUACUUAUAUUGAUGCUGUUUUUUCAGCUAUUUGCCGCUCGGUGAUUUUUUUUUUAAGGAUGUUUGAAAGAAAUUUUAUGUAUGUUAGUCUAUGGUGUCUCAUCUCUUCUGAUGCCAAAAUAUGAAAGCAUUUGGUCACUUGAAAACCUGACUAGACUGUUUGCAUGACUGCUUAAUGAAUAGGAUAUACAGUAUCUGUUAACAGAUACAAAUGGAGCACUCCAAUUUUGCUUUUCAAUUGAUCUAUUCCUAUAAAGUUACAUGUAUAAAGCUUGUUCUGUCAAUGAAUUUUUGGAAGUUUCAUUUAGUACCCAAAAAAAAAAUGGUGAAACACUGAUAAUAUGGUGAACUCUGGUUAUGUGGGUCUUGUAGGUCGGCUGGUGUUUUUGGGACAAGGAAGUGAUAACCAGAAACCAUCACAAGGAGAUCUGAGAAGUGUUGGCUAUUAUUAAAGCGAAUCAAGUGUGAAAGCAAUGGGAGGCUCUUUGAGAGAGUAUUUUAAAACACUCUUGUAAUUAUGUUUGAGCAUUGCUUAGGGAGGAGAUUUGGGAUGGCCAGAUCAAGUCUGAUUAAGAAAUUGUACUAUUUGUCUUGCUAAUCUUGAUGUCCCUUGCUGAAGUAGUCCGUGGUUGUUACUGGGAGAAUAUAUUCCCAGUAUUGCUUCUGGUUGCGUUUGAUAGCCAGUUUACUUGUUAGUUGGAAAAGUACUUCUAUGCUCUCUCAUUUAUUGAUGCUGGUAUUUGUUAUGCUCAUAGAUCGUUUAACUGUGUUAUUCCGCAAAUCAAUAGGUAUAUUCUUGCAAUAAUCUGUUGGUUUUACUUCCAGGAGGGAGAGAAGUGGUGAAUGUGGUAGAGACAUUAGAAUGGUAGAAGAAAGCAAUGAUGUCUGGAACUAAUUUACGAAGGGGGAGCCAUUCUUUCUGCUGUACUUGCUGUUCCUUGUGUGUUAUGUGCUACACAUUGUUGGGGAGAUGGAGACUCUUAUUUAGCAGUAUACCUGGCAAUGGAGUAAUCUUCUUGUGAUAUCAAUUCAUUGUCAUAUUUUAGCUCGAUAGUAGACUGGAUUCUAAUAAUCAGAUCCAAAUGAAGUUUGAGUUCUAGUUUCAUGAAUGGACGAUAGGCAAGCGCACAAGUAUUUGGAAUUCAGGUGUUCAGUUUUUCGAGCCAGCUUUAAUGGCAUUCGUGUUCUAUAAUUGCACUCAAUUCCCACAUCGCCUGCGAGCAGAAAAGCCAAGCACGUUAUAUUUGCUCUUCGGGCAGCAACCAACGUCCCUUCGGGGACAUUCGAUAAAAUUGGAACGAUACAGAGAAGAUUAGCAUGGCUCCUGCGCAAGGAUGACACGCACAAAUCGAGAAAUGGUCCAAUUUUUUUGGGCUUUCUCCUGCUGAUUUUGGUCCAAAUUUUUUUGGGCUAUUUUACAGUGAGUGUUAAACUCAAUGACCCGGCUUUUCUGUGAUGAUUGUGGGCUGUGUUGCAUUGUGUGUCAAAUAUUCCGCGACUUUGGACUGCUCUGUUCAGCGUCAGUCUUUGCACUUGCGAAAUUCAGCUAUUUUUGCUUUUCUUUUUCUUUUCUUUUUUCUUGGCAAAAAUCUAGUUUUGCCUUAAUCAAUAGAAAGACUUAUUAAAUCUUACUGUCGAUGUAAGAAUUGAACUGAUAAGCGAGUCGUAAGAACUCUUGUAAGCGAUUUAUGAUAUCAUAAACCUGCUUUGACUCGUGAUGAUAAUCGAAGCUGAAUUCAUUCAAAUUUUUUAUUGUCAAAAAAAAAAAACUUGGUAUGGCUCAAGUCCAAAGAAGAAAGAAAGUUAUCCGAUGGAUCCUUAAAUUUACGGGUUCAUCACGACCUCGAGUUUGGACUAAAAAGUAGGAACCAGUUAGACUAUGAUGCCAUCAAAAACAGUACAUAUAAAAUAUCUGCAGCAACCCCCUGGUUCUUUAAGAACCGCGUGUUACAUGUAUUACAGCAGGUAGAACUUAAUUUUUAUUCAAUGAAUGCAAAAAUCGUUAAUAAAGUUUUUUGCAACUUAUAUUUGGCUUUAUUAGUUUUUUUUUUUCCUGAGCAGAUCGCGUUAUUAUCCUAAAAGGGACAAGCAACAAUAUCACUUGUCAUGUGCUUCAGUUAUUGUGAAUGGCACUCCAUUUACUCUGCAAUUUUUGCAAAAUCACUUUAACAAAAUGGACUAUCAUUAGCAAUAGCUGAAGUGGCAAUAGCAGUAAUUAUCCCACUGCAAAUUUGAAAGUCCUCAUGUAAUUUUCAUUAAGCAAAAACUUGAUUUCCUUUAAUUGGGCCACAUUCUGGUGGUCUAUUGCUUCCGAGUUCAGAAAAGUCGGCAAAACUAGAUGGCCCAAUAGGAAAGAGCUUGCUGACCUGACGAUACUGAAUUCGAAGCGAUCAACUUUCCUGGCUUAUGGCUUGGUUUCUCCUUUCCUUAUCCACAAAAUCAGUCUCUAUGGAGGAGAAAACAGACAUAUCAUGAUUUAUGAAAGUUAUUGGAGAAACACCAGCAGAAACAGAGCUAGAAUACAACCGAAUCAAAUGUGGUCAAGUCAGAAACUGAUGCAGUACUCACCCCAGUUACUUCAACCCCCAGCACUACCUCCUUCGCAAACUCAAACCACAAGUAUCAAGCAAUGCUGUAAAGUCUCACGCAGAGAACUUGCAAUUUGUACCAACUCAUCUUUGCUAUUACUCUUAGGCUCACAGACGGUGGAGCCAUUGCACCAUUCAAGAGCAAGAGCGGAGGAAAUUGAGGAUACAAGUAAAGAAACUGAACAACUUGUGGAAAGUGAGGAAAAUGAAGUUCCUAGGAACACUGAACUUGUGGAAAGUGAGGUUGCUCCUCGAAACACCGAACAACCAGUCGAAAGUGAGGAUGAUCCUCAAAAAACUGAACAACUUGCCCCAGAAGACGAUUCAAAGAAAACUGCAGAUCCCUGUGGAGAACAAAAUCCAACCCAGAGGGCAUUUCUUGAAGUGUCAAUUGAUGGCGUGCCUCUUGGUAGAAUUGUGAUCGGGCUAUACAGUGAUAGUGUUCCAUUUGGUACAGCCCGAUUCAGUGAUCUUGUCAGUGGUGCAGCGGGCAUUAGUUAUAGAAGAAAAGAAUUUGUUAAGAUCACGCCAAACUAUGUCCAACAUAGUGGAGUGAGAUCAUAUGGUGUUGAUGCUGAGCUUGCGAGGAAGGCUGGAAGCAAUUUGGCUGCUGACAGACUCACAGAUGAAUGGGAGAAGCAGUAUGCGGCUUGUCCAGGGACAAAGAAUUUGGCCAAAAGCAUUGGCAUUGUAGUGAGGGAUCCUUCAAAACCACCACCCAAGUUGAAAUUGAUUGCACGCAAAGGGAAGCUAGAGAUUGAUCAAGAAAAGGUGGGAGCGGAUCCUAAUGGGACAGAAUUUGUCAUUGCUAUUAAAGACUCGCCUGAACUAGAUGCAUCAACAUUAGUGAUUGGAAGAGUAUUGGAAGGAAUGGACGUUGUUGAGAAGAUUAGCCAAGUGAAGACAGUACAGGAGAAUACCAGUUCUCCCUAUUUCAGGUACCUGUUGUACUCUCUCUGCCUAACAAUACCAACAUGACAUUACAUAGAUGAGCAACUCUAUGCACACACAAUAGGACAAAUAACAUACAGCAAAUGAUCAUUUUCCUAGAUACAAUUUGAAAUUAACAUUUCUUCUUUAUGAAUUGCCCACCAGGGUAGCAAAGUUGAUAGGAGACAAAAGGGCUGUUGUAGCAGAGAGAGGCUUUAAUCGACCAUACUCAAAGGUGUUGAUUACCAAUUGUGGGUUGAUAAAAUGAAUGAAGCCCCUAUAGAUCACUUAUUUCCAUUUUGUAAUAGAGGACAAGAUUGUGCGGGGAAAUUCUUUCACAUUGAUGAUUCUCAGUAAAUUUUUGUGCUGUCAUAAAUUGGAGUUAUGCAUACAUGGACAGUACAGCUGCAAUCGCAACAAGCUGAAAAUAAUGAAAAGCUAUUACACUCAUCCUUAAAAGGAAAUCUUUAAAUUCAAGUAGGCAAGAAAAACUAGAAAAGCUAAGUAUGCAUACGUAAGUGUGCUUUCCUGAUUAGCUCUGCAAUCUCACAAUCAUUUGACAUGCUACAAAGUCAACACUAUCCCAGGCACUAGCUCGCAUGAGUAUGCUUCGUUCUUUUUACAGGUGGGGAACUGAAAAGCUUUCUGAUUGAAGCAAUUGGAUCAUCCACCUAUAUCAAAGAGAGGACAUAAGAAUGCAUUUGACACUUAUACAUUUACAAAGGAGGAAGCCAAGUAGACAGAGAAAAUUAAAUAGGCUAAGACUGCGGCUACAAGACAAAGAAUUCACCCAACAAGCAUUUCAGUUUGGAACCGUAUCUCAAAUGGGUUUAGGUAAAAUUUUACAUUCUAGGCUGAGUCAUUUGAGACUAAGAUGAAAACUGGGUGCAGCAACUAAGAAGCAAAUUGAUACAGAUGCUGUACGUGAUGCUCUUAUUAUCUUGGAUCACAACAUUGAAAUGAUAGUAACUAACUAUUCCAAGUGUUAUGCAUACUCAUAUACUGUACAAGGUGAACCAAGUAGCAUAAAAUUCUAUGAUUAGGAGCAUAAUUCAAGAUGCUUGUUUAGCUACAGCAGAUUGAAGAGUACCAACCAGAAAAAUACAUGUACCAGUAAACCAAAAUUGCAGACCACGAUAAACACCAAAUGCGAACUAUACUCUCUAAUUUUGGCAUGCAUAUUGUAAUUACUGCUGCUAUUGUAUCACUUCGUCAUUUACCUCAAUUAAGGAAGAUGGUGGAUUUUCAGCAAAGGACUCCGAGAAUUCUUUAUGGCGUUGUAAAGCAGACAGAGUUUGUUUCCAUCCAGGAGCAGAAUUACCAAUGGAUGCAAUCCACGGACAAAAAAGUUUGUGCUGCCUGAUCGGAUCGAACUCCAUCGAGUUGUGCAGUGAUUCUUGUUCUGGAUUCCUUCCUGUAGAACAGCAGAUAAAAAGCUUACCAAUAUUUUUCAGACUAAGAACUAACCUCUGAACCCUCUAGAAGUAGACCAGAUAAAAUAUCAGUAACUACUUUUUUUACAUCAAUUGCUAGACAGUCAAAAUAACAUGAAAGUAGGAAAUGGGUAAGAACCUUUACAGUGUAUUAUAUAUGUUAACAUACCAGGACACAUAUCAUGCUUCACAUAUAGUAUGAUGUUAUAUGCAUCUGGGAAAACACCAUUCAAUAUCAUAAAAUGUUCAAGGUUGAUAUGACAAUUUCUCUUAAUUAAUGGGUACAGAAGCAAAAAUCAUAGAAAGACCAGAAAAGAAGACACUAUUUUUUUCUUUGUCAAGGUAAAAGUUCAGAACAUGAGACACUGCAAAAAACAAAGAUAGCUCUUUUACCCAAACUAGUGUGAGGAACAUUGCUGUCUCCAGCCUGCCCUCCAGACUCCACAGCAUUGUUACUUUCCUUAUCACCUGGCAAGUUGUCAUUUUUGCAUGUGGCAGUCUCAACGACCAUCCCAACAUUAUUUUUGACAUUACAGCUGGAAAAUUCCCCAAUUUGUGACCUGUUACAGUCCUCGACUACAGAAUCAACUGUCUUGGCACUACCCACAUUUUUUACUAGCAUGUCAGCACUACCCAAACCUCCUCCUACAACCUCCAUGUUUUCAAGUUGUUUUUCAUUAUUGGAAACUGGUUCACCAACUUGAUCAUUUGCCUGUUGCGAUGUAUUCCCUUCCACCAAUGCCAUUUCUUGGUCUUUACAGACCAUAUAGUUGGUGGAAAAUCGAGCUCUCAAAUUCCGUCCAAUCAGAGGCAAAGAUAUAGUUGCUCUAUAAUUUUGCUUUGCAGGUGGAGGACCACCAGCAAUUGUCAAAUUCAAAGUACAUGUUUUCUCAUUUGAAGAUGUAGAAGCCGCAAAAUCAUUACGACCCUCAUUGCUGGAAAAGGAGCUCCCAGGAGCACUAUUCUUGGAUUGGGGAGUAUCAUUUUGACCAUCAACUUCAGUAUAUCCAACCAACCUCAGAAACUCUAUAGGUUGUGGAACUGAAGAAAAAGCCCACAAACCAAUACUAGCACCACAAAGCCUGCACUCAAAGACAACGGAAUUGGGUUCAUAGAGAACUCUCUCAGAAGCCUGAGAAUCAUUAACAGCCUCCAAAACCCCUUUAGCAGAGGAACGGAUGACACUCAGAUUAAGCUUAUCAGAGGCUAGAUGAGGUUGAUUUGCCAAAUUUACAUUGUUGCUAGAAUCUUCUUUUCCAACCUUGCAAUCAACAAUAUAAGGUAAUGAAUGAAAUUCCCAGCCAAAAAGACUGAUUAGCUUUUGUGCCUGCAAAAUACAAUGUUCAUGUUAAUAAACAUCAUAAGAUAGAAAAUUCUAGAAGGUUAACCAACUAACAUAAUGUUAGUACCAAUACAAAUCAUGGACCCGUUCAGUUCAAACCAAAAGCAAAAGUCACACUGCUAACAAAUACAAGAAUCCGGGAGUAGCACUAUUAUUAGCUGGUCAAGAAAGUGAAAUUGAAACAAGCUCAUGACAGAUGACUCCAAAGGAUCUGUCUGACUCUGUUUGUGUAUGCAUAAACACACAUUAAAUGGAUAGCUUCUUAGCAUUCCAUCAAAUAUACAAUUUAAACAAGCUUUGAGCUUCAAGAUUGUAGAUCGUAACAAAAAAUAAAUGUAAUGGGCAGAAAUUGAUGAAGCAGCUAACAAAUACUGGCAUUAAAAGACAAUCGAGCUGCUGAAAGUCAUGCAAAAUGGCUGAAGACUAUUCUUUACAGUAAGAUAUUAAAUAUCCCUCUACAAGUGCAUCACUUGCAUACGUAAUGUUUGAACCUGAUAGUAUGAAGCAGAAGAUGCUGAAGGAGGGUUAUUUAUGAGACUUCUACUAGCAUCAGCAGAUUUAUUCUUCUCCGCACCUGAAGGUCCUCCAAAAAAUUGCUCCAGCUGAGGGCUUCUUAUGUAAUCAAUGGCGGAAGGUGAAAUGAUUGGGAGAGCUGAAAGCUGCAAUAAAGCUGAACACCUUUUUUUAUAGUCAUCAACUAAAACAGCAGUUGGCUUUGGGGGAAACUCUGCAAGUUUUUCGUCACAGAUAUUGUCCACCCAUGGGCAAAGUAGUUUGUGCCCAGUAUCUAGCUUCAAACUGAAUACCAAGGCUGCCUUCUCAACUGGUAAUGAGUCACCAGGAACACAGUAGAAGAGAACCAAAAAAGAAAGAAAAGAUAUCAGAGAGAAACAAAGAAAUGAGUUGCUUCACAAAUCAGCUACAACAUGAAGAAUAAUUUGCCCUCCACAUAGCAGAAUGGUAAAGAGAAUCGUGCUUACCUUGUUGCUGUGUCCAAGACGAUGGAGUAGAAAAAAGAAGACGUGCACCACAUGAUUCACAGGCAAGGGUAUCCAUAUCCACAUUGAUCCAACCCCUCCUAGUGCAAUUCACUGCACUAAUUGUCUGAUAUUGAUGGAGAGAAUUAAUUUUCUAAUUCUGGCUUGUCUUCCAGAGUUUGAUGGAAAGAGAGACAAUAAAGGCAAACAAUACCAAGAAAUAUAUGUCUUACUUUCAAAUGGAGAAAGGUCAUAUUUGUAAGAAUUUAAUCCAAUUUACAUACAAGAAGUUUGGAACUGCAACAUAACCCAUAUCUUAAGUCCACUUAAAUAUUUAUGGUACCAGAUAUUAUCUCUCUACAAGCUGUACUUCAAAUCCACCAGUACAUCCAUAGCUAAAUGUACAAAUAUGCUAAAAGGAUGUUUUGGUAAGUCUGGAAAAUCUCACCUAAUUUUCUGGACAAGUCUCUUUGAAAAGAUGAACCACAGUGGAUUCUAAAUGUGGUGUAUAUAUCGGUGAUGUGGGAAUGAUGGAGUUUUACAAAAUAUAAAUUUCUGGUUUCAUGAAUAUGGAGAAAAAUGGGUGACAGAAUGUAUGAUGUUAUGAGCACCACAAUGGCCACUAAAGGCAAACAUCCAGGUUGAAACAAUUUUGACAAAUGAUGCUAUAAUUAUAUGGCAAAGUGGAUCAGCUUAUGGAGCUUCUAGCAUCUCAUUAAAAUAGGCAAGAUUACUUUAUGCUGUAACAAUGAAAUGUUGCCACGCCUCAUUGAUCUUGUUGUGGAUAUCUCAUGGAAGUUUUAUCAAUUCUCAACUAUCCGAAAAAUUUUGCGUACUAGAAUUGGAGUUAUAACUUGGAUCAGGAAAAUUUAGACAAAACUUUAACAGCCAAUGCCCAUGAUUGAUAUUUGACAAGAAAAGAAUUAAGUCUUGCAAUUUAGAACCAAUCAUCCAAAAAAAAAAAAAAAAUCCAAUUCCCAUUGCAGAGAGCAGGCUCUGAGAUUUGUACCUGUGGUUUAGCAAACCAAGUCAUGGACUUGAAAGUAGACAACCUCCUAAAUAGAUCAUCACGGUUCCAUGGUCUGCAAGAUGGAGCUUGUAUUGAACCACUUGAACCGGAUGACACCUGCAUUUCCUCAGUUGGAUUUAACCUCGAUUUUGGACCAAGUAUGCCCAAUGCAGAGGAUACAUUCGGCCAUUUCUUGCCUUUCAACCACCGAACUCCAUCAGCACUACUGUUUUAACCAAUUUUGUCAAAAAAAAAAAAAAAAAAUCAUUGGCAACAAGUUUCACUCUCUCUGGUUGUAGCAGUCCAAUUCUUAUUGACAAACACAAACACACAAAAGAAAUGCAAGAUCAAUUUCCUUGCUUGGAGGUAUCCAAUUCUUUUUGCUUGAAGCAAAAAAAAAAUAAAAUUGAAAUACAUGCACGCACACAACAAACACACACAAAACACUCCCUUUAAAGGUACAUUUUGGUAUUUCAGGUAGAAGCUUCUAUUUUAACCACUCAAACACAGUAUCAUACUCUACAAACAAGAAAAAAUCAACCAAAGUUAUACAAUAUUAAUAAUUAAUAUUUCGGCUUUAUAGCGCUUAUGCAUCAACAUUUCAGUUAUCAGCCAAAAUCAUACAUUGGGUUUGUUUGGAUAGUGUAUUAUUUGAAAUAUUAUUUGGAAUAAUUACUGUAGCAACAUUUCAGUUCACAAUAACUUCGAAAUCCAAACAAGAAAAAUUAAAAUACAGAGAAAACAACGAAGUGACAACUUCAGCAGCUAAAGUUCACUUUCAACAAAAAGAAAAAAAAAAAAAAAAGAGUACAUAAAAGAGCAAUGAGAAGCCGUUGAUAAAAAAUUGUGAAAGAGUUAUAUAAAGAGAAUUAACGAGGAAAGCUGAAGAAGAAGACCUGGUGGUGGUGGAAGCAGAGGAGCCGUUAUUAUUAUGAUGAUUAUUAUCGCUAUUAUUAGGCUUGGAUUUGGUGGUGGCGGUGGUCGGAGAUUCCGGAAACAGCCUCUCUAAUAUUGCUUCGAUUCUCUUUUGUGCCGCCAUCUCUCCUUAUUGCUAAAUUUUUUGGCCUGAGAAAAAAAAGGCUCAAAAGAAUCUGGACAUAAUAGAAUUUACUUGGAUUUUGAAGAGCUAAAUAUGGUAGUAAAUUGCUCCGGCAGCGCGCCACCCCAAAGUGAAGCUGUUAAAUUAAUGAGCUGUCCAUCGGAAAAUUUUUUGAAAUCUUUUUUUUUUUUAAACCACAUUUGCUAAUUACAUUUUUAUCUAAAAUAAAUUACAUUACAAAAACUAUUAUAGUAUACAGAAUUUGUGGAUAAAAAAAAAAAGAUUUUGAUGGUAAUAAUUAUUAUAAUUAUAAAGAAAGAAAGAGAGAGAGAGAGAGAGAAGAUUCUAGUACUAUAUAAACAUACACAGAAAUAUAUUUAUUAUUUUGAUAUCAAAAGUUUUUCUUUCAUUCAAUUAUAAGGUUUUGGGAAAAGUUUUAGUUAGGCAUUUGUUUGAAAUUUUUUUAUAUUUCUAGUCGAUUUUUUUGUCAUAAUUUUCCUAAAAUUUAUUUCUUGGUUCAACUAUUUCAUUCCCUUAAAGAAAUAUUUUAAUCACAUUCAUAAGUGGAUUCAAGUAUUAUUGUAUUUAUUUUAUUUAAGAACUUCAAGUAUUGGUAUUAUUGCUUCAAAAUUGUUAACAUUAUACCAUGUUUUGUCAACCUAUUAUUUAUUUAUUUAUAUUAGACUUAGUUGGACCUUUCUAAUGAAGCCCAAUAGUCGUAUGGUGUUCUUGGACGCUUGGACCUGACAAUGGAAAGGUCCAACAGAGAGUGUAUGACAGUAUGGGGUUGUAUCAACUAACAAUUCUUUUUUAUCCUUAGCCCAGCCCAAUUCAAAGUGCAAGUUCAAGCCCGUUUCUUAAUGCAGUUUUUUUGUGCCUCAGCUAAUCGAUCUAUCUCUCUCCCUCCGUCUCUCCUCGGCGGGGCAAUUCGGAACUAGUACGCCUUCGGUGGUGAGAUUGGCUAUUCAGGUAAGUAAUACUAUACAGUGAUUUCAGCAUUGCCUUUAGAUUAAACCUGUUUCUUAAGUUUAGAUUCUAAGUUCAAUGGGUGCUUAAAUUUACAAGUCUAUUUAUGAAAUGAAUUUCUUUUGGGAAUAAAAUCGAACAGGUGGAGGGCAAUGGAGAGCGAAGAGGAUGCAGUGAAGAAAGAACGGGUAGUGGAAGCUCGAGCUAGAAACAUUAGUCAUAAUGUGAGGUGUACGGAAUGUGGGAGUCAGUCCAUUGAAGAUUCUCAAGCUGACAUUGCCAUUUUGCUCAGAAAGGUAUCCCAUUUUCUCCUCCCAAUUAACACAACACUCCCCACCAAGUUAAAUUCAUUCACUGUGGAUAUUUAUUCAUGAGCCAAAAAAAAUUUUCCGGAGGAUAUCGUAAAUUUAAGCAAUUUUGAGUUUAGUAGUUGUAGGUGUACUUUAAUUUAGUCUGCUGAGUCGAAUUGUAUGCACGGAUAUUUUGAAUUGACUCUUUGUAAUGUUAAUUAUAUAGAGCCUUCAAGGAGCUUUGCGGACCUAUUUUUUUAUAAGCAGGGUGUUGUGAACUUAACUAGCGUUCAUAGCAUUGCAAGAUUUUACUAGUUAAUUUUUUGGUGGGGUGUCUGUGGCAGAUAAUCUCAAACUGGUGCAUAGCUGGUUUUUUGCCCUGUCCAUUCUUGUCGGUUAUGGGAUAGGUUUGGCUUAUGCAGUGAUAAUCUCAAACUUGUUUAUGGAUUAUCUGGUGUGCUUCUUAUUCUGUUUAUUUAGAUGCAUUUUGUUCGGUAGUUAUGACCAGUUUUCAAACAAAAGACACUGAGGAGUUCCUACCAUCUUUCUUCUGUUUGGUGGUGUUGUUUACAUACUCUUCUUGCAUUUUACCAAAAUUUUAUCUAGCCACUUGCUGCAUUUGUUUUCUUAUUUAUGCUUCCAUAACCUCACUCGGAGCUGUAUUGUUUACGUUACCUGUUGUAGUUAAUUCGGGAUGAAAUCCGGUCUGGUAAAACUGACAAAGACAUCUACAAAAAGCUUGAGGAUGAUUUUGGUGAGACGGUGCUUUACGCACCAAAAUUUGAUAUGCAGACUGCUGCUUUAUGGUUGUCUCCGGUCUGUAACUCUCACUACCAUUGGCGCGCCCCCUUCUUUAUUUUAGGGUUCUAUGGAAAUUGAUCACUUAUUUUGAACCUUUUCUCAAACAGAUUUUAGCUGCGGCUGCUGCUGGAGGCAUAUGGGCUUAUCAAAGGCAUAGACAAAAAACAAAUGUGCACAUUAUGGCUCUGAACCUAGUUAGAGGAGUUCCAUUGACCCCAAAGGAGAAAGAAACUAUGCUCGAUGUUCUCACACCACCCCCUCCCGAAGGAAUCACUUCUUCCUUUUGGUGGAGGAGGUGGGUUGGUCGAUGAAGUUUCUCGCCUGCAUCACAUUCACUAGAUGUGCUGAACUCCUCGGACUUGAAUUAUCACAUUACCCGGAGCUGGCAACUAACUAAUAUGCAUGCAGGAGAAAUGGUCCCUGGCCAAAGUUUCCACUGACUUGUUUCGAGAUUAGGAGAAGUAUUUUGAUUUGUCAAGUUAGUGAAAGUGUUGGAGUUAACUGGUUGUAUAUGAAAUGUAUUUGGUACCAUACAAACUUAGCUGAUGGUUAUGCUAAUCAUGUGUGUCAUUGCCAUUUGAGCUGUUAACAUUUGUGAUUCUUAAAUUAAAGGUUGCAGGAUUGAUUCUAGUGAAAUACGUUCAAGCAUAUUUCAGUGUGCUGCUAGUUUUGCAGUCUUUGGGGAUUGAUUAUUUCUGAAGAGCAUCAUGAUGGGCUCCAAUAUUUACUCCCGGAUAGAUAUUGUAAAAUGUGCGGGGAUGCGAUUUACCAGAGAAGAAAGAUUAAAGCAUAGUUAGCGAAUCCAUCAAAACCGUUCACGUUAACGAUUUACCAGAGAUCGAAUAUCUUUUUCCCACCCUUGGUAAAAGUUAAAUUAAUCUUCUUCUUGGUGUCCCAUGUCACCACCUAUUGACUUCAAUUACUUUUUUCGUUCUUGAAAAAAGUAAAAAUUUUAUAAGAAACGUGCUAAAUAAAAUUUCAUGGGCUUUUCUAUCUUUUUUAGUCGUUCAGCAUUUGAUAUCAAAAGAUUUACUCAUAUUGGCAUGUAAAAAGUAAAUAAAAUCCACAUAUUGAUGAAAAAAAAAACCAAGCUUCUAGUUCUAGCCAGCCUUGUACAAGUUUGAAUUGGUCAAGUUAAACUUGAAAAACAGUUACACCAAGUCAAAGAUAAGCCCUCCCUAAACUGUUGCAGCCACCACUCCAACAUGCGCCAUAACUCCCUCCUAAUCCCGCUCCACAACCUUCCUCUCUCCUUUUUAAGUCCAGCUUAGUACUCAAAUUUCUUCACAUUUACACUUUUCACAUCAAGAAACUCAUACAAGCAAAGAGCUCCCUCUUGAAAGUCCAAACAAACCAAAAAUGGCUUCUUUCUUCCAAAGUUUCUCGACAUGUUUCCUCCUAGUAUCCAUCUUCACUUCACUCCAUUUCUUAACAGGGAUUUCGGUUGAGUUCGACGUUGGUGGCAACACUGGCUGGGUAAUUCCUCCUUCGAAGAACGAUGAUCUGUACAAUGACUGGGCUUCCAAAAACAGAUUUAAAGUCAAUGACACCCUAAGUAAGUACUUGUCAAUUCUCCAUUUCAUUAAACUUUUUUCAAGUAGUAAUUGAAACUCAAUGCAAAUACACGUAUACAUGCAUGUGUAGUUUUUACGUACAAGAAAGAUGCGCCAUAACUCCCUCCUAAUCCCGCUCCACAACCUUCCUCUCUCCUUUUUAAGUCCAGCUUAGUACUCAAAUUUCUUCACAUUUACACUUUUCACAUCAAGAAACUCAUACAAGCAAAGAGCUCCCUCUUGAAAGUCCAAACAAACCAAAAAUGGCUUCUUUCUUCCAAAGUUUCUCGACAUGUUUCCUCCUAGUAUCCAUCUUCACUUCACUCCAUUUCUUAACAGGGAUUUCGGUUGAGUUCGACGUUGGUGGCAACACUGGCUGGGUAAUUCCUCCUUCGAAGAACGAUGAUCUGUACAAUGACUGGGCUUCCAAAAACAGAUUUAAAGUCAAUGACACCCUAAGUAAGUACUUGUCAAUUCUCCAUUUCAUUAAACUUUUUUCAAGUAGUAAUUGAAACUCAAUGCAAAUACACGUAUACAUGCAUGUGUAGUUUUUACGUACAAGAAAGACUCUGUUAUGGAAGUGACCAAGGAGGAGUAUGAGAAAUGCCGAUCGCUGCAUCCUAUGUUCUUCUCCAACAAUGGCAACACAAUCUAUGCAUUGGACCGAUCGGGUCUGUUCUAUUUCAUCAGUGGGGUUUCAGGACACUGCGAGAGAGGCCUCAAGAUGAUAAUCAAGGUCUUGGAUGUAGAAAGCACCCCUCAGUCUGCAAAUCAGACGGCAAAUACAUCAUCUCCUGCAAAAAGUGCUGCGGCUACGUAUUUUGGAACUAGUAUGAUGAUGGUUAUUUUGGCAGUGUUAGGGGUGAUUAUUGUCGUUUAAUGCUUGAUCCCAUUUUGUGAUUAGUUUAGAUGGAUAAAUGGAUAUGAUAGCUAGCAAUCAGGAGAUGAUCUUUUAACUCCUGAAUUUGUUUUCUUGAAUUGAAGAAUGUUUUGGUUCUGAUUACGACGCAUGCUUGCAUCUAUCUGGUUGGAAAUUAAUGUGAUGAUUGAUUAUUGAGGUUGGUAGUAUCAGUGCAUUUAGAUAUUUGGAGCAAGAGUCUUGUUUGGAUUUUGCAAGGCAAUAGCAGAAAUGUCUCCCACAUUUUGCAAAAAAAAAAAAAGAAGAAAAUCUAUUUCUUCCCUGCAUAGACCCCAAAAUAAUAAUUAUAAGGGAAGCAUUAACAAGAAACAAAAGCAGAAAUGUCAGAUUUCACCAUACCAGCAGAAAUGCAGAAUAAUAGAUAGAAUCAUAAGCCCUUAAUCCCCUUCUUAAUUGCUAAAGCAAAGUUAGAGAACCAUUUUGUUGCAAGAAAUUUCUGCAUGUGCUGUUCUGCUCUGCUAGUACUCUUGAGCUGGACCUUGCGGAAACCACAUGAAAAGCUAUCCCUUGAUGUGUGAAAUUCCCGAGCUUUCGAGUAAAAAGCAAAGGAACCAGGAAGCUGUCGAGCAAAAAUGCUCUUCUGAAUGCUAUAUGCUCCCUGCGACUGUAACCCAGAAAAAAUAUGUUUUAGCUUUUCAAUCAGUGGAAGAGGAAGGGAAGUUUCAACACAUCAUGAUAUGUGACAGCACUUCAUGAGAUGAAAGUAUGUUCACCUAAACAUAAACAUGCAUGGUAUUUAAAGACCACUCUUCCUUACAUACUUCAUCACAUCUAACUAGCAAGAAGAUAACUUGCAUGGUCUUUGAAAAUCAGUCAUCCUUACAUAUGCAUGAAGAUAACUGCGAAGUCGUGCAGAAGGCAGCAUGGCAUGUUUCAUACCACGAUCUGCAUUGUCAAGAAGCAAUAACUAGUUUAGCGAAUGAGUUCUCACAAUUACUUCUAUUUUAUAGAAUAGAAAUUCUUAAAGUGAAAGUGAUUGAGCCAGGGGUUAAUCACCUUGGAUGACGUGAAUGGAAUUCUCUCUCUCAUCCAAGACCACUUUUACUGAAGUUCUGCAACACAAAAGUAGAAAAAAAAAAAUCAUAGCAAGAAUGAAACACUAUGCCCAACUUACUUACAUAUCAAAAGCAUUUAAUUUAAAAAACCAUGCUUUUGUGGAGGUGCUUGCAGUUUAAUUUGGAUUAAGUGAACAGCACAAAUCAUAAGGCUUCAGAAAUUCGUAAUGUUCAAAAUUUAAAAUGCUCUUUGAGAUCAGCUUUACAGGGUGAUGGAAGGUUAAUGUCAAAAGCAUGAAUUUGAGGCUUUAUACAGCUCCAUGUGACUAAUUCAAGCUAGUUUACAGACAAGACAAAGAGACCAUUGGUAUUUUUAAUAUUUGAAAAUAAGACAGGAGACUUAUUGGUAUAGUGACAGGAGAUUUGUUGGUAUAGUGAACUUCUAAGUGUAAUAUGACUUUCUAGACCUGUUGAUAAACAAUAAUUUCUUAAAUGAUGCCCUUCUAAUCGCAUAUAUACUUUGACAUUUUCAGUGCUGAUUAGGUGCUUAUUUGACUUAUGUGGGAUAUUAGUACUUAGGUUACUUGUGUUUAUUUCUCCCGUCUCUAUCCUUCGUAUUUUAUGAAUUCCUAUUAACUGUGUACUUCAUAUGCCAAUGGAUGCUUAGAAAGCCUGUAGUCAGGAAGUUAAACGAUGAACAGAGUGCAGCUUUGGCACGGUUCAUUCAUGGUAAAAGACGCUACUCUUCUGCUGUGCCACCAUUUCACAGGGUAGUUGUGCAUGGUGAUCCCUUUGCUGGAGUUAAAGCAGUGAAAGGAACCGCCGGAAGGGUGCAGCCGAUGAGGAACUUAAUGAGGUGGACUGCUAAUGAGUUGGUUACGAAGAGAAUCAUUAGGAGGAUAAGAGGUGUUUAAUCGACGAAAUCUUGACUCGGCAAUGGUGACAGGAAUGGCUUGAUCCGCAUUUUGUUUUUGUUCCAUGUGGACAACUUCGCCCAAGGAACUGAAGAAUAGUAACUUUGUGGUCAGAUUUAAGUUUACUAAUCUUGUUUGCUUCUGCAGUAUAUCUUGAUUCAUCGCCGGUUAAGCUGUGUUGUUAUUCUCUCCCUGGAUCAGAUUCAAAUAGCCAAGAAAUCUUUUUUAUGUUUGACAUAUAAGAGAUACAUGGGCUCGCUUUGGUUGGUUUUGAAGCCUUGUAGUGCACAGUUAUUGUGAGAAAAACGGAACGAAUGCUGCAGAAGAAAAUCAGCAAUUUUAAACAAUAACUACUCUAUUGCAGGACAUUGGACGGGGGUUCUAGACUGAAAGCUGAAGUCUUUGUAUUCUCUUGUACUUUUUCUCAAUGGACCGCUUGAGUCCAAUAAUUUACAGUCGUUAGCUGGGAAUUUGGUCUUUCAUAAAAAAAGUUGUAAGGAAUUUUCUAAUUGUUAUCAACGGGCACUUGUUAAUACAUUUGAAUUCCACUCGAUAAAUAUAUGCAAUCAUAAUUAUUGUGAUAAUUAUUGCUCUCUCUCUCUCUCUCUAUAAAGGUGAUUACACUGUGUUCACCAAAAAAUACUUUACAUUUUCGCUUGUUUUGAUAAUAUAAUGUUGCAGGCACUAAUUACUAACUAUAAUUGCCUUACCUUGUGACUAAAACAUCUGCAAGGUGAUUUUUCAGAAAAUAAUUGAUAAAGGCAUUAUUAGUUGAAUAAUUACAUUGGACAUGUUUUUAGAUGUAAAGCAAACUAUGGUUAAAUAUCUCAUUUCAAAAUCCACGCAUUGUGAGCAUUUUUUUCAUUGGUUAUUAUAUGCUUUUACAUAUAACUAGAAAAAUCCACAUGCUCGUUACAAACUAUACGUAAUAGAAAAACAAAAAACAUAAAUAAAACAUACAUUUUGGUCUUGAAUGUUGUUACAACAAAUGUUCAUGUAGAUAAAAACUUGUCUAAGUGACCAUAUAAGGGGGAAGGGAUGGGAUAGAUGGUAUCGGGGAAGGAGUGUAAGUGAAAAGUCUUACUAAUUAUGAUACAAUAACAUUAUUAGUUAUGUGGCCUUACAUUUAUGCAUAAUAAAUUCUUGUUUUGCAUUCCUUGAAUUUCUUUUUGGAAUAGUUGUUAGAAAAUCUAAUUAGAAUGCAGCGCCUCUUAAUUCCAUGAGGUUCUUUUCCUUCUUCCUCUUGGGGUGAUCGUCAUCUGAGUCACCCUCAUAAGACGAGGAAGAGGACUCUUCAGGCUGUUUUCGAGAAGACUCAGCCCUAUCCUUACCUUUCAUAUGCCUGACAAUCUCUUCAAAGAGCUCUGGACCUCUACAUGAGGUUGUGAGUUCUUGGGGAUGUCCUGAUCCCUUAGAUCGGCUGUACAAUCUCCGGAAGUUUGGGGGUUCUGAUUUCCACGAUUAGAGCGAGUCUUAGCUAUUACAGAGUAGAGCAGCUAUAUUCACUUCGUUCCCACAGACGACGUCAAUUGUAGAGUCACGAUUAAAACUCGCGAGAAGACUGGAGAUUGGCAAACUCUAAUUCGGGUUUCCUAUAUGAGAUCAAGAGCAAAGGCGAGGCUAUUCCUCCGAUUUGACUUUGAUACUUAAGUUAGCAAGAGUUGAUAGUUUGGGAGCAAGAGUUGAUAGUUUGGGAAUAAAUUACCGAACAGGAGGGCUAAGAAGCAAUUGCCUCUAGGGUUCAGGAAGAGGGAUAUUUAUAGUAGAACUUGAGAAGCAUCCUUGAGGUUCGAACCGCAUUGAUGAGAUAGAAUGCGGCGAUAGAUCAGUUAUAGGUCUACUGUUGCAGGAGCAUAGGCCUGCAAAAGAUGGAUGUUAUCGAGAGAAGAAAUGUAAGCGAGAGGUCCCAAAUUUGAAACCUCCCACUUAUACUAAAAAAAGAAAAAGCUACUAAACAAUAACAUUAUUAGUUAAGUGGCCUUA
rnacentral:lncRNA from 1 species